rnacentral:lncRNA from 1 species
ACAGAUCGCUCUUCUGCGUCAAGAAGCACAGCCUUGAUUGUGGAGACGGUGCUUUUGAGGUCGUCGAGGUCAUCUUUGACAUUCCACCACAGUCCAAUUUGAGAGAGAGUAAAGGAGCUCAAUUUAGUAAUAAGCUCUACGGCGAGGUCGAAAGCAAUUGCUUCGGCCAUUGCUGGUUCAAACAGAAAUCAAGCAAAAGAGUGUUUGGUUAUUGCAAGAGGAGGACUAAAAUGAAAAUGAUUGGAACAAGAUGAAACACAGAUGUGGAUCUAUACACGCGGAGACUAAGAAUUUUUAUAGGUGUUACCAUCCACCCUGCAAGUAGUAUAAUUAAAUGAAAAUAAUGUUGAUUGGUGGGAAAUAUUUGACACAAAUUUCUCAAUGGAGACAAAGUUGGGAUGAUAUCACUUCGGGUGCUCUGCACAAUUACAUCAACUUGGGCAAAAUUAGUCAGUCUCGAUCCCUACAAAUAAUUGAAAUUAAUGAAAAAGCUAUGAAAGAAAAGAGAAGAAAGAAACAAAUCCCAUGGAAUCCAAGGUGUUUCGAUUGAGGCGAAUGCAUUCGAGUCUUAAAUUAAAUAUUUUAUUUCUAUUUGAGUUGGAAUUAAGUUCGUAAUUUAGUUUAAUAAGAUAAAAAUAUAUAAUAUAUUAUUAAACUUAAAUUUAAUUUCAUCAAUAGUUUAAAUUUAGCUCAAUAAUUAUCUAAUCGAAUUUAAAUAUAUUUUUAAUCGAAUUCAGUUAAAUAAUUAAUAUUAAAAUCUCAUUUAGGCCUCUCCCACCCGUGAAAUUUAGCUUUAAUUUUUCCUUUUUGGUAACUUGGUAACAAUUAUUAUUAUCAUGUCUAUAAUUAUAUAUAAUGACAAUUGUUACUAUAUCCAUUACUAUUAUACUAUACUCUUAUUAAUAAUGUUUUUUAUAUUGAUAAGUCUGUUAAUUAUAUUUGUUAUUAAUUUUUUUAUAUAAUAUUAAGAAUAAAAAUAAAGUAAUAUGGUUCGAAUUUGUGUUAAAUAAGUGUCUGGUAAAAGCUUUAACCAUCUCUCCAUACUAUUAGUGUACAACUUCGAUGACGAAAAUCUUGAACACAUGAACAACAAUUUGAACAGAGAAAAGAAGCAAUAGGACAAGGCUCAAUUAUCUUUCUAUUCACCCCCUACUCUAUGUGCAAAUGAGUUUAAAGUAAAUGAACCUCGAGGAUACAUGAACCCUAGUAGCUAUGAGCGUUUUACAUUAACGAAAAUAGUCCACUAAGAACUAAACAGAGUAUAACAAGAAAAUCAAUUUUUAUAAAAAAAAAUUCAGCAAUAUUAUUUUAUAGAACAGUCUAAGAAUGGUAAAAUAUGUAAGAAUAGUAGAAAGAAUUUUUGAGAAUUUCUUUUGGGUAUAUUUUUUGGCUUUAAUUUUUUGGAGUUACAUAAUCACUUAUUUUUUGGCUUUAAUUUUGCAAAGAACGUGUGGUCAUAGGGAUGUGUUGUCAUUAGGCUAUUGUGGAGUUGAAUGGAAAAUCAGUACUUAUAUCGUCAUCAAUACGGCUUACAUCUACUGAUUAGAGUGCAUUUUAAUUACUUUAAUAUACAUAAAAUUAUUUAUUGUUGGAAAUUUUGAUUACUUCUCUCGAUAUUUUAAUUACAUCUAUUUGAUUAGGAGUGCGUUUGAGGUCGUCGAGGUCAUUUUUGAGAUUCCGGCGCAGUCCAAUUUUAGAGAGAGCACGAGAGCUCAACUUAAUAAUGAGCUCUGCGGCGAUGUCAAAAGCAAUUGCUUCGGCCAUUGUUGGUUCAAACUGAAAUCAAGGCAAAAAAAUGUUUGAUUACUGCAAGAAGAGGACUAAAAUGAGAAUGAUUGGAACAAGAUGAAACACAGACGUGGAUCCAUACAUGCAGAGACUAUAACUAUAGUUAUAGAUGUUACCAUCCACCCAGCAAGUAGUAUAAUUAAAUGAAAAUAAUUUUGUUCGGGGGAAAAUGGUCCCAUCGUAUUUAAUAAAUAUCUCUUUUGCUAACAAUUAUAUCUGUUUAGAUAUUAUGAAUCGAAGCACCCAAACUGUAAUUUUCUCUCAUAAAAGGGUCUCUCCAGUUUUGCUCUUUCAUCUUGCUUCUUUCUUCAUUAUUAAAUACUGACUUAAACAUAAAAGAAUAUCUCAAAAUACAAGCUCUAGUGUCCACCCCUCUCACUUUGCAACAAAAUUAUAAAACUUGUGACCUGAGAAAUUAAUAAUGAAACUUUGGGAUUACAUAGUCAAAUAUGCUUACUUUCUUUGCUAUUUAACAUUAAUUGAGGUGAGGUGAAUAAAGCAGGAGAUUUUAUGGUGAAAUUUUGGGUUUAGGAAACUGUGAAGAAAUGAAAUGGCAAAGGAGAAGAAGAUUUGAAGAAACAGAAAGGAAGCAAAUAGGGGGUACAGCCAGCUCAUUUGGAAUUUUCCUAUUCCAUUAACCUUUGGGUUAGUUUUCAAUAUAUAAAGAAAGCACAACUUUCAAUUUUGGAUGGCGCUGGAAUUAUAUAUUCCUUUAUGGUAAGUGGGGUUCAUGUUUUUUAUUUGUUUAUUACUACGAAUAUUAUAUAUCAUCAAUCAAACAUUAUUUUAAUAUUUGUGGUGUUUUUCUUGUUGUUAUGUGAGAUAAAUUAUUCAACUAUUAAUAAAUUUAUAUUUUGAUUAUUAACUUUUAAAAAAUUUAUUUAAAAUUUUUUAUUCAAGUCACUGAACAAUUUAAAAUUUUUUUAUUUAAGUUAUUAAGUUGUUACAUUUUUUUAAAGUUUGGCUAGUGAGCUCCAAACGACAAUUUAAUUAUCAGUAUGGUAGAUCAAUAUCUAUCAACGAGUAAAAGAUUAUAAAUUCGACUCAAAUUAAUUUAAUAGUUAGUGUCAGAGAUUAAAGAAAACUAUUUAAAUGUGUAAUGCUUGUGAUUAUUUUUGAAAUUUGUGGUUUUUUAAAGGUGGGUAUUGAGAUUAAUGUAAAAGUUUAAAUACAAUAAUUUUUUAGUCUUUCUUAGAUUAGAGAGGCAAAAAGAAUAGAGAUUGACAAAUAUGACUUCCAAUCAUAACACUAAUGGUGAUGAAGUCUGUUUUAUUAUUUUUAUUUUGGGGUAAAUAUUAAAAUUAUUCAUAAAUAUUGAUGUAAUGUGUAAUUUGAUAAUAAAUUUUGAUUCGAUGUAAUUAUACAAUUGAAGCUUUAAUUAUAGCUCAAAUGUAUAUAUAAAAUUUUAAUUUUAAUUCAAUCGUAUACAUUUACAAAAAUUAAAAUAUUAAUCAAUUUUUCUAUUAAAUAAAUAUAAUUAUUUAUGCAUCCAUGUUAAUACAUAUAUUACCCGUAGAGUCUAAAUAAUAUUUUAAAGAUGUCACCACCUACCCACCUACCUGCAGUUUUCAACGUAUUUUUCUUGAAUGGCACUACAGGACGUGAUGCUGUGAACAAAGAACAAGAAGUUGGUCAGAAUUUUAAAUUGAAUUUAUUAUAUUACAUUUAAUCACAAGUUUUUUAAUACAAAUAACUAGAAUUAUUACAUCAGCUAAUCUUAUUAUUAUUAUCAUUGAAUGUUAUUGUCCAAACAAGGAUAGCUCAAAUAUAAUUUAUUCAACUUCUUAUUCAUUUGCCUCCGAUGAGUAGAGUUGAAUAAAAAGACCUAAAAAAUUGAAAAUUGAUUUGACUCGAGGUGGUUAGAACAGCAUGCAAGUUAACAAAUCACAACCGCCCAAAACCAAACCAAAUUCUAUUUUUUUUUCAAAAAAAAUCACUCGGUUGAAGUUAAAUUGAAUAUUUUAUUUCUAUUUGAGUUGGAAUUAAGUUCGUAAUUUAAUUUAACAAGAUAAAAUAAUGUAAUAUAUAUUGCUAAACUCAAAUUUAAUUAGAUUGAUAGUUCAAACUCAGUUUAAUAAUUAUCGAAUCGAAUUUAAAUUUUUUUUAGUUGAAUUCAGUUAACAUAUGAACAUUAAUAUCUUAUUUAAGCCUCUCUCGCCAAUAUAAUUUAGCUUCGAUUUUUUCUUUUUGGUAACUUGGAAACAAUUAUUAUCAUGUCUAUGAUUAUAUAUAAUUAUAAUUGUCACUAUCCAUUACUAUUAUACUAUACUCUUAAUAAUAAUAUUUUCUUUUAUUGAUGAGUCUUGUUAAUUAUAUUUGUCAUUAAUUUUUUUAUACAAUAUUAAGAAUAGAAAUAAAAUAACAUGGUUCGAAUUCGUGUCAAAGAAGUGUUUGAUAAAAGCUUUAACCAUCGCUCCAUACUAUUAGUGUGGAACUUUGAUGACGAAAAUCUUGAACACAUGAACAACAAUUUGAACAGAGAAAAGAAGCAAUAGGACAAGGCUCCACUAUCUUUAAGGUUCUAUUCACCACCUACUCGAGGAUACAUAAACCCCAGUGACUAUGUGCGUUUUAUAUUAACGAAAAUAGUCUGAUAAGGACUAAACAGAGUAUAAUAAGAAAAUCAAUUUUUAUAUAGAAUAAUCUAAGAAUGGUAGAAAGAAUUUUUAUAAGAAUUCAAGAGACAUAACAUUCAAUAGGUGUGUUUUUUUUUUAAUAAUCAUAUCUUCAAAAGAUACAUAAUUAUUCAAUUAAUAUAUUCAAAUAAUAUUGCUUGAAUAGUUAUAAUUUUUUGUCAGAAAAAUCAAGUGAUAUAACUUUUCAUAUUUAAUAGAUUUAAUUUAUUAUUAUGAAUAGUUAUAACUCUUGAUCAAUAACCAAAAAAUAUAAUUUCUGAUUAAUUACACUCUUUCAUUUAUAAUUAUUGGGACACUAUAAAUAUUUGAUAAUUUUCCAUCACAUACAAGUCAAGACAUAUUUGCUAUUAAUAGCCUUAAAAUAUACAUAUAUUUAUUAGGAAAGGGUCAAUUAUUAUUAUUAAGGAUAAAUAUCAAAUUUAUACAUGAACUUUGGUUAAUGUUCAAUUUGAUACAUAAAUUUUGAUUUGGUGCAAUUAUCCAUAUGAAACUUGAAUUGUGGUUCAUAUAUAUAUAUAUGAAACUUUGAUUUUCAUUCAAUUGUAUACAUUUAAAUAAAUUAAUACAUAUAUAUUUAUAUUGAAUUAUUAUAAUUAUUUGUAUAUGCAAUAUAUAAAAAAUCAGAUGAGAAGUUGCCUACAAAAGAAAAAGUAAAUAUUUUUGGACUUAAUAUCAGGGGUGACUGCAAAUGUGGCACAGAGAGCUGUUGAGGAGUUACAAAAUCACUUAUUUUUCGGCUUUAAUUUUGCAAAGACAUGUGGUCAUAGGGAUGUGUUGUGAUUAGGCUAUCGUGGAGUUGAAUGGAAAAUCAUUACUUAUAUCAUCAUCAAUAUUGCUUACAUCUAUUUGAUUAGGAGUGCAUUUUAGUUACUUUAAUAUACAUAAAAUUGUUUAUUGUUGGAAAUUUUGAUUACUUCUCUCCAUAUUUUGUUUCAUGUCAUGUUUAAGGAAAUAAUUUUGAUUGGACUAAUAAUAUUAUAAGAUUGAAAUAUUCUUUCAAAAUGCAGAGUUGUAAGAUUAAAUUAGAGUUUAUUAUGAGUUGAGUUUAAGUAUAAUAUUAAUUCAUUUUAUAGUCAAAAUAUAAGUUUAAAAUUUUACUUUAAGUUCGUCCAAAUUUGUAUAUAGUUAACUCAUGUCAAUUUUAGACCCGCCAUACUAUUUUUUAAAAAAUUAAAAUAUAUUUGAAUUAUUUCUAACUUAAUAUUUAAUAAUUAUGUAUAUAUUUUUAUUGAAAUUUUAUAUAUAGUCAUCUUAACAUUAUAACAGUACAUAAAUUUAUUUUUUAUUUGUUACAAGUUACAUAACAUAUAAAAAAUAAUGUAAUAUAAAAUAUUGCAAACUAAAAAAUUAGGUCGGCCCAAACUUACAGUUUAAAUGUUCAAUCUCAAGCCCAACCUAUAUUUUAAGCGGACUUUUUUUUUUUUACUGGAGCCUAUUUUUUAAACGUAAUAUAUUUACUUAAACCCUCACAAAUUUUGAAUAAGCCUUUGGACUUGACGAAAAACCCUAUCCAUAAACAGAUCUAGACUGAACUAAAUUUACUACAUUCUUUCCCUUUUAUUUCCCUAUUAUUUUGGGUCAAUAGUACAUAUCUAUUAAGACUUUAUUGCUCCUAUAGGGAUGAUUAUAUAUUAAAGUUAGACAAUGAUCGUACAAAGCUAUUUUAUUCAUAGAAAGUCAAGAAAUUGUCAAUCCAUACAACCGUAUGCUUUUUCAAAAUCUACUUUAAAAGAUAGCACCUCCCCUUCUUCGCUUUUUUGAAUAUAGUCCACAACUUCGUUUUCACUAAAGCACAAUCCAGAAUCUAACAAUCUGAAAUAAAAGCAAAAUUGACCUUCAUUGAUGGUCCUGAAUGAAGCUUUGAAUCUAUCUAGUCAAAAAUUUUCGGUAUAGUAAAAAUUUUUAACAUCAAAUAAAUAAUAAAAUAGGGUGGGCAUCAAUAAAUAAAUAAAUAAAAUCUGAAUUUUACUGUAUGGACAAGUCUAUUGAGAAAUUUUUAAAAAAAAUGAUAUUUUAGCAUAUAUAUGGGUUAAAGUACUUAGGAAGUCCCUCUAACAUUAAAUGAAUCAAUUUAGUCCAUAUACUAUUAAAAAAAUAUAAAUAAGUUCAAAUUGUAACGGAGUUAACAUUCACUAUAGCACGUUUAACAUUAACAUAGUUAAAUAUUUUCAAUGCAUUUUAGACAAUAAAUGCUAACUAUGUUACAAUUUAACCUUAUUUGAUCUAUUUUAAUAGUAUAGGGACUAAAUUGACCGAGGGGGUUAUUUGAUAAGUCCCUAUAAUACAGGGACUUCUCAAUUCUCAAGUACUUUCAACAUUAUAUAUGUAUUUCAAUCUUAUUUUGGAAUGAAAUUGAACAAUUGAAAAAGGUUAGAGUUCAAAAACAUUAUACAGUCCCGAUGAUUGUCACAGAUUUUCAUCUAGUAAUAGUCGUAGAAUAGUUGCCGAUCAAGAAGUUGAAGCAAUUGUUGUGAGAUCUCUAGUGAGUUCAAAAAUUCUCUUCUGAAAAUGGUGGCUAUCAUGUAAUUAGCAGUAUAUUAUUUCAAUUUUGGUGAGAAUUGUAUUCUCACUUAAACGCUUAAUGCCAUUUGCUUAAUACUUUGUGUGUGUGAUCUUUUGAUCUGUUCAUAGACAGAACUUUUCAUGGUGGCUAAGUUUCUUAGGGGAUAAAUUAUUAGUAGUAUUAUUUGUUUCUGCAGUGAAAUUGUGAUGCCUGUAUUUUAAACUGUGAGGUAUUUCCGUAUUUGAUGAUGUAGUGGAGUUUUGGUAGAUUUAAGUGCUCGUUUGCUGUACUAAGUUGAAAUUGAAUGAAUGCUGGCCUCAUCCAAUGUCCAAAACUUGAUGACUUCAACAUUUUGAUGCCUUAAUUUGAGAAGACUAGGUUAGAGUACUAUAAAACUUUCUAAGAAUGCUGAUGAGGCAUAGAUCUAGUGAUAUAAUAUAAUUGCAAUUGAUAGUAUGGUAGUCUAAAUGCUUUAGUAAGAGAGGAAGAUUAUGUCAUGCUACUCCAUUCUCGGUUUAAAUCAGUGCUCUAUAUGAAGAAAGGUUGAUGGGUGUUAGUUCUUUUGAUGUCUUGUCUUUGAUGGAUGUUUGAAAAAUGAUUCAGUUGAUAUUCAUAAUGUCUAUCACUACAGUUUCCCCUUUAUGUAUAAUAUGACUGCUAGUUUGUCGGUCUUCGUAUAUUAUAUUCCUUUUUCUUAUUGUUUUCAACACGAUAACAACUGAGUUACUAGUUAUUUUACUUGAUUUUGUCAUGGCAUUUCAAAGAUGACCUUAAGGACCUCAAAAGCACCAUCUUCACAAUCAAAGAUGUGCUUCUUGAUGUCGAAGAACAAUCCAUGACCAGCACUCUCAUCAAAGAUUGGCUUGAAAAGUUAAAAGAUGCAUUUUAUGAUGGCGAUGAUUGGCUCGAUGAUUUUUGUUGAAGGUUGGUAAGCAUGUAGCAAAGAAGCAGACAACAAGCAGGUCAUGAAGAUUGACCCAUGCAGAAGCUGCUGCAGCAAGCACAACUGUUCCUUUUUUGUUCAUUUUGUAACCUUAAGUUGACGUAAUGUAUUUUAGUUCAUUUUGAACUAUGUUAGAUUAAUGAAUGAUGUAAUUAGAUGAUGAAUGAGCUGUAAACUCAGCUUUGUCCAUGCUUACAAGUUUUGUUUUUCAAGUUUCAAUGUAUAAGUGGUAGUAGGUAGCAAUUAGGUGACCACAUACCGAUUUUGAUAAGCAAAUUACUUGAUUUAUGUAUUGGCAUUAUGCCAUUGAUCAAAAUGAAUGAAAUCCAUCAGUUUUUUGUUCUAUUACACUUCACUUUCUUUGCUUUCUUUUCUCUUCUUUUCUUUUCAUUUUCUCUCGAUUUCUUUUGUUUCUUCAGCAAGCAUCGAGCCUUGCAGCUCAAGCCAUAAGCUGAACUUGUCUGUUCUUUGUUCCUAACACCAAUAAUUUUUCUACUGAAGUUUUGCGGAAAGAUCUACUGAGCAGGAGCAAGCUAAUGAAAGAUGCCUUUUCUUUUCAAGCUCAAACCAAUUUGCUUAUGGUUCCAAAAUGGGUCAUCUAAUUAAGGCCAGGAUGUUCAACUUGGUAGAGUGUGACCGUCCCAUUAAAACCUAUUUCAUAACUAAGAAGAGGCAGCGAACACUCUUUUGUGAGUAAAGAUGAAAUAAUAUGGAGGGAAGAUGAUAAAGCAGCUUUUCUAGAACACAUAUUAGAGUUCCAAAGUGAAGAGAAGGUUUAUGUGAUUCCGAUUGUGGAGUUUGGAGGGUUAGGGAUGACUACAUUAGUACAGUUUGCCAAUGAAGUGAUCAAUGAUCAUUUUAAGUUGAGGAUAUGUAAAGAUUCCAAACUGAUCAUCUCGGAAGCGAUCUUAAAUCGGGCAAAUUAGAGAGAUAAAGAAAUUGCAACCCACUCCGGAAGAUGCCGACACUUUGGAAUUUUUGCCUGCGAUAGGGAGCGUAGGUUACAAUGCCAUGGACAGAUCACAACUCCACUUUCUAUAUAGUUUCAAAAAUUACUCGGGGGCAGAAGGCAAUGGGAGCCACAACUCCCCUUACCCCUCCCCCUUCCAAAUUUGGGAAAUUCUCAUUAAGCCUUCAAUUUUUUGAAAAUUUUAAUUAAACUCCUCAAUCUUUUUAAAAUUUUCACUAAGCCCUUUAAUAGUUUUAUAUGUUUUAAUUCGACCCCUUUUUUUUUAACUUCUCAUUAGGUUCUUUAAAAUUUUUGAAAAAUUUAAUUCCACAUUUCGCUACCUUUCGUCUCUGAUAGCUUUAGUUUAUUUGAAUGCUUGGAAUUAGGCUUUCACAUUGUUACAUGGUUGAAAAUUACUUGUAUUUUGAUAAGGAAAACAAUGAGAAAAAUAACAAUUAGAUGCUUGGAAUAUUGGCUUGUGCCAUGAUAGGCCUUUAUAAGGUGUUAUUCAACUUGUAAUUUGAUGUGUGCCAACAUAAGCAUCAACAGACAAGUCAUGUAUAUACAGCCAGGACAUCGACAUCUUUUGGAAGCAUCAUAAUUGAACAAUGUGAAAUACCGUCUAAAACAAUUAUUGUCUCAUAAUCAAUUGUGCAUCCCUGCAUUUGAAUACUGUUUGGAACAUUAAAAAUGAGUUUUUUCCUGAGUUGGUACAUAUUAUGCAACAAGGAAAAUAAAGAACACAAUUAAGAUGUUCACGCAGUUCUAAACUCGUCCUACGUCUGCAGGGCUUUGCCCAAAAAUGAAUCCACUAUGAACUUCAUAGUACAAAGAAAUGUUUUAAGCUUAACCCCUCAAACACUUGAUGCAAUCUCACUUUUGUACAAUUAAGUAAAUUCUCUCCCAACUCAUUUUAGCUAUGCAAGUGAAAAUUCACAUUCAACACUCAGAUGGUUUUCCUACUAUGAAUCAAGCUCUUAAUAAGCUCCAUGUAAAGUGGAAUAAUAAAUUUUCAAAUGCAAUAUGUCUGGCAAAUGUCAUGCUUGAACAACGACUCUUCCAAAAGCAUCAAUGAACCUGAAAAUUAUAAAUGCCAACAUAGAAUAUGUUAUAAAUCCCAUUAUUAUCAGCCUUAUAUUUGCACAUAUGUGUGUUUAGUAUAUUGCUGUUGAUAUAUAAAUAAUGAAACAUUUUAUCAACUUCAUCCUCACCACCAAAUAUUCUGAAGCAUCUUCCUUUUUUUCCUGUUUGGACCUUCAAUAACAAAUCUGUUUGGAAUUCCAAACAGCUAAAAGAGUGCCCUGCAUCAACGAAUAUUAUGAAUUUGAAUACCUCCAAAAGCCUGUCAAUAGCAGUGGUACCAUCUAAGAUAGUAAUCAGUUGGCAUAUAUUAAGAGAAAACAUAAAUAUAUAUAAAGAUACAAUAGGUAAGUGCUUAAAUGAAGAAAGCAGAGCAUAUAGUCCAACCAUUUUGAAGGCUUCAUAGGCCUCUCUCUCCACAUCAAUGAUUUUUUAGAAUUAAAUUAGUAGAAGCAAUUGUCAAGUUAUUAUUAUGAUUUAAAAAUAAAAAGCAAAUAGAUAAAUUAGCACCUCUUUUUAUGCAUAUAAAAUGAUUGAAAUUCACUAAUGCCUUUAUCCAAUGCCUUACUGCACAAAUCAGCAAAAAUAUUAUGAAAGAUGAUAAGUAAAAAGUAGGAUGAAAACAAAGGGAUUUUAACAAGGAAAUUAACAGUAUCCAACUUCAAUGAAAAAUGGCAUCAGACCCCUGACUUGGAGAUUCAAUAUACCACUCUUUAUUUUUCUUCAAAAAAAGAUAAGGUCAUCAAAAUAAAUAAAUAACAAAGACAGACCAACCUGAUUCACAAAAUGCAGGGGAUGUGAGCAAUCUUUUGCCAAUCAGCGCCAAUGUCCUUCUGACAUCUUUCCUCCAACUGAGGAACUUCAUGUAUGUGUAAAUGCUCCAAACUGGUUAGGCAACGCAUCUCAUCCGGAAGAGAUGUUAAAUUGGGCAAAUAAGAGAGAUGAAGCUCUUGCAGAUUUGUUAGAUGUUGAAGCCACUCCGGAAGAUGUCGACACUUUGCAAUAUUUUCCAGACACAGAGAACGUAGGCUUGUAUGAUCUUGGAAUAUUUGGAUGCCAGCUCCAGAUAACUCCAGCUCCUUACAGUCCUUUACUUCAAACUCUUCAAGGAAAGUGAGAUGUUGGAACACAGGAAGCAGUGACCUCAAUCCAUUGCAGUUCUGAAUUUUUAAUGUUUUCAAUUGAACAAGAUGUUGAAGCCCAAUGGGGAGAGACACCAGCUUUGGAAUAUUAUCAAUCUUCGAAAAAGAGAGAUUCUUAAGGGGUUCCCAUUGCAUGCCCUCUAAAUCAACCUCCUUGCAAUCACUUAUUGUUAAGAAUUUGAGGCUGGUGAGAUGUUGCAGGCACUCAUCUAGCGCGUGAGUGUCCAACCCCUCAAUGUUGUGUACAUGGAAAGAUUUCAAUUUGGAGAGCGGAAGAGAAGAGGUUGAAGUUGAUGGGGCCUUAGCAUUGAUGUUCAUCUUGAUAAUCUGCUUUAACGGCCUUGAACUGGUAUUCGACAACAUUAGAUCUUCAUCGAGUGAUGGAUACAGUGCCAUUAAAGUCAAAGGGCAAUUUUUAAUACCUAAAGAGGAAAGACAAGGAAAUGCCAUGGUUGAUGUUCCCAUAACUGUUGUGUCGUCCUCGUUGGAAUCAUCAUCGAUUGGUUUUGUCGUCCUCCACCAACUCUUCAUAUUCGGACAGUCCCAGAGCCAAAGUUGCUUAAGUGAUGGGAAGAAUGAUUGUGGUUCUCCUUGACUUCCUUUUGGGCUAUUAUCAUCAAUUGGUUUUGCCGUCCUCCACCAACUCUUCAUAUUCGGACAGUCCCAGAGCCAAAGAUGCUUAAGUGAUGGGAAGAAUGAUUGUGGUUCUCCUUGACUUCCUUUUGGGCUAUUAUCAUCCAUGUACUCCAGCUUAGUACAACCAUGUAUCUCCAGCCCUUUAAGACAAGGAAAUUGCGCAAAGGAUGGGAUUUGUUUGAAAUUACCCCGAUAUAUUCUCAUAUAAACGAGAUUUGUGAGCAAAGAAAGCCAACUUGGAAACUUGGCAUCACCUCUCCAUCCUACAAUACAGAGCUCCUUGAGAUUAGGAUGGGGCUGGAGGUCUUCAAGUGACUUCUCAUCAUCACCAUUACCACAGGCCCAUGCUAAUUCCAACGAUCUCAAAUGUUGCUUCUCUUUCAAAUUAGCAGCCUUAAACUUCUCUUUUGCAUUUUUUACGGAUCCCAAUUUUGUUAUUUGUAGACGUCCCCUUAAGUUGUUAAGCAGUCUCAAUUCACUUAGAUCUGCACCGCCAUGGGACCCAUCUUUAUCCACUACAAACAUGCUUAACGUCUCAAGUGAAGUCAGCUUCCCUAUUCCACGUGGCAUAUGAGUUAAACUACGACAAGAAUAACACGCGAGAUGGGUAAGAUUCACCAAUUUUUCAAUCUUCUUUGGCAAUUCUUGAAGCCUGCAACACUCAUCAAGUUUCAGCGCUAGCAAAUUCUGAAUCUUGCAAAUACUCUUUGGGAGAAUCUCAAGACCGCUAUUAUAAGAAAGAUCAAGGUACCUCAAAUGUUUCAACUUACAAAUGGAGCGUAAAAUCUUUUGAAUACCUAUAGAAUCCAAUUUCAAUACACGCAAGCUUCUACAAUUUGCAAUUAUCAAAUCCCAAGUUUCAUAGCUGAAAUCUAGACUUAUUUUGUCUUCAAAAUGUAACAAGGUUCGCAACUUCUUUCCCUUAAACAAAGGAAUUAAUGAAGGUUUAAUUGAUAUGUGGCGACAUUUUUCACCAACAUCGCUUGCAAUUUUAUUUGAAUCUACAAUACUACUCUCCAUCCCUGCUACUGAUUCAGCUAGAUCAUGCGUUAAAUCAUGCAUUUUACAUCUCAUUUCUUCCAUCAAGUCUCCUUCUAUAUCUUGAAAGAAACUUGUUUCGACUAAAGCUUUAAAAUACCCAAAUCCGAUCUCCUCGAGAGAUUGACUUUGAUUCAAUUGCUUUAUGAAACCCUGUGCAAUCCAAAAUUGAACAAGCGCUUGUACUUUAAUUUUGUAAUCUUUUGGAUACAAUCGGCAAUAAGCAAAGCAAUGCUUCAAAUGAGACGGGAGAUGAUCAUAACUCAAUUUCAGUAUCGGUAGAAUUUCUCCUUCAAUUUGUGAUAUUUUAGCGAGUUCAUUUUCUUUGAAAGAAUGCCACUCAUUUGCAGUUUUCUUCAAAGAUAAUGUACCAGCUAUCGUCCUUAUGGCUAAGGGAACCCCACCACACCUUUCAGAAAUCUGUCUCCCUACUUCCACAAAGGCUGAAUUUGUUGAGUCUGCAUAUCCUUGCUCAAAUGCUAUCUUUUUGAACAAAGACCAAGCAUCAUCAUCAGACAAGCCUUUCAGUUUCAAAACAUGGGAUUGACAUUUAUUAGUUAUCUCCGCUACCCUUAGAGAUCGAGUAGUUACUAUUAUCCUACUCCCUUUAGCCCCACCCAUCAAUAACUUCUUUAGCCUAGACCACUUUUCUGUGUCCUCAUUCCAAAUGUCAUCCAAAACAAGCAAAUAUUUUUUCCCAUCAAUUUUAUCUCGAAGUUGUUUUUGCAAUUGAUCCAUUUCAAGAUUUUGAUCAGGUGCGUGAUGAGUCACAGAUUUGAUAAUGUUUGCUACAAUAGCUUUCACAUCAAAAUCAUCUGAAACACACGCAAACAUCGUUAAGUCAAAAUGAUUUUUGACCAUUUCAUGGUUAUAGACAAGUUGGGCCAAAGUAGUCUUCCCUAACCCACCAAACCCCACAAUUGGAAUGAUAUAAACACUUUCUUCACUUUGAAACUCCAACACGAGUUUUAGAAGAGCUGCUUUAUCAUCAUCCCGCCCUAUUAUGUCAUCUUCACGCUCAAAAGAGUGCGUUUGCUGCCUUCUUUUAGUCAUGAAAGAGGUUUCCGCGGGGCGAUCACGCGGAACGAAGCCAAAAGUGUUGGCCUCACUUUCAAUUGAAGCCAAUCUCGCCUUAAUGGCCUUCAUUUUCCGACCCAUUUUGAGACCAUAAGCAAAUUGGUUUGAGGUUGAGAAGAAAAGGCGUACCUCUUUCGUCAGCUUGUUCCCACCCGAUACAUCUUUCCGCAAAGCUUCAGUAGAGAAAUCAUCGAGCAAGUCGUCGGCAUCACAAAGUACAUCUUUCAGCUCUUCAAGCCAAACUUUGACGAGAUUGUCGGUCACCGAUUUCUCUUCAGCGUCAAGAAGCACAGCUUUGAUUUGACAGACAGUGCGUUUGAGGUCGUGGAUGUCAUGUUUUAGAUUCCACCACAGCCCAACUUGAGAAAAAGCACGAGAGCUCAACUUAAUAAUGAGCUCUGCAGCAAUGUCGGAAGCAAUUGUUUCGGCCAUUGUUGGUUCAAACAGAAAUCAAGGCAAAAAGGGUUUGAUUAGUGAAAGAGGAGGACUAAAAUGAGAAUGAUCCCAGCAAGAUGAAACACAGAUGUGGAUCCAUCCACCCACCCAGUAGUAUAAUUAAAUAAAAAGUAAUGUUGAUUGGUGGGAAAUGGUCCCUCCAUGUUUACUGUUUGACACAAAUUUCUCAAUGGAGACAAAGUUGGGACGAUGAGAAAUUUCCCAAUGCUCUGCACAAUGUGGAACCGUACAAAUAAUUGAAAUUAAUGAAAAAGCUAUGAAAGAAAAGAGAAAAAGGAAACAAAUCCCAUGGAAUCCACAAGGUGUUUUGAUUGGCGCCCAUGCAUUCAAGUCUUUCUAAACUUCUUCCCACUUACUUUGUGUAAUUGAGUGAGUAUCAAUACUCGGUUUUAACUUAAAUUCAAUAUUUUAUUUUUGAGUUUUAUUUCGGUUGAAUAUAUAAAAUAAAAAUUCAAUAAAACUCAUUCGCUAUUAAAAUCAAAUAUUAUUAAAUUCGAAUUAGAUUAAAUCAAUAAUUUAAACAUAACUUAAUGAUUACUAAAUCAAAUUUAAAUUUUUUUCGAAUCGAAUUCAAUUAAUAACUUACGAAUGAUUAUCAUGUCCUCCUUGUGAAAACUAAAGUGGUUGACAAUGCUAGCACAAUCUGUUUCAAAAAUAACAUUAUCGGCUUUAAGAAAUUGAGCAAGUCGAUAACCAUUGAUGAGGGCAUCUAAUUCCGCUUUAAUAGUGAUUUUUUAUUCUCAUUUUAUCGGUAUAUUUACAUUUGAAUUCAAAUAUAUAUUCUACAAUUAACUUUAAUCUCAAUGUUACAAUACUUAACCUCACUAAAUUACUUGUUUAACUUGAUUAUGAUAAAUUUAUAGAAAGAACAAUCACGAAACAAAUGUAGAUGCACUAUGUUUAAAGUAUUAUUAAUGGAAAUUUUAUAAUUUUGAAAAAUAAAAGUAUAAUAAUUUUUUUGGCAUUCUAACUUUAUAAAAUAAUUAUUUUAGCUCUCUAUUUAUUUUCCUUCUCUUUUAGUCUUUGAACUUAUAUUUUUUUGUCAAACCAUCCAAAAUGGGUAAAAAAGUUAAUGUUUGUUAACUUUUUUGACAUGACAUAUAGGUGGAUUACCACGUGUAUGUCACGUUAGCAAUUAAUUAUUUUUAAAAAAAUUAAAAAAAUAUUUUCUUAUAAUUUUUUUAAUUUUUAAAAUAUUUUUUUGAAUUUUUAAUUUUUUUUUAAAAAUAAUUAAUUGCUUAUGUGACAUAUACGUGGUAAUCCGCGUAUAUGUCACAUCAGCAAGAUCAACAUACGUUAAUUUUUCACUCAUUUUGGAGUGAUUUGAUAAAAAUUAUAAGUUUAAGAACUAAAAGAAAUAAAAAAUUAAAUGGAGAGUUUAUAUAACUUUUUCUGAAAAGUUGGAGACCAAAAGAAUCAUUAUGGCUAAAAAAUAGUUGUUUUUCUUCUUCUUCUUCUUCUUCUUUUUAUUGGUAAUUUUUAGUGCUAAAAUGAAGAUGGUGUGGAACAGUUUCUAAUAUUAUUAUUGUUAUAUAUGUUUUCGAUCUCAUUAGAGCUAAUCUCACUGUCUAUAUAAAGAGAGAGCCUAAAUAUAAUUUGUUUAGCUUCUAUUAAACAUGUUAGUGCUCCUUUGUAUGAUCAUUUAACUCCCGUGAGUAGGGUUGAUAAAUAAAAUAAAAUAAUUGAAAAUCGAUCCAAAUCAAUGUGUUUAGACGGUUUAUGGAAUACAAAUUAAAAAAUCAAAAUUAUCCAAAACCGAACCAAAUUCUAUUCUUUAUUUAAUUUAUAAAUAAUUUUUAUAAUAUAAAAAUAAAUCUAUUAUAUUUAAAAAUAAUGAAAAUAAAUAUAUAUUAAAACUAUUAUAUAAAAGUAUUUGAUUUUUUUUAUUUACUUAUAAAAUUUUAAAAAAUGUCUAUGAAAAAAACUUUGAAAAUUUGUCAAAUGACAGUAAAAUAAAGUUUAUUUUAUUAAAAUAAUUAUAAAAAUUUAUAAUAAAUAAUCGAGCUAAACUAAAUUAUAAUGGAUGAAUAAAAUACAAUCGAAUUAAUCUAGUAUCACUUGAUUUUAUUGCACCAAACUAGACAUAAAAGAUUUUCUUAAAAAAUUUAAACUGCAAUGAGAUUGUUUUUCUCACUCUAACCUCCUAGAGGUGUUAUAUAAGUACAUAUCAUAUCAUAUCAUAAUUAUAAAUUUAAUUAUUUAAUUAUUUUAAAAAUAAAUAUAUUACAAAUUAAUAUUUAUAUAAUGAUAUAUUAAAUACAUGUAAAUUUAUUAUCAUAAAUAUAUUUUUAAUUAUUAUUUAAUAUAAAUAAUUUUAUUAUAUUUUAUUAUUUUCAUUUAUAUAAAAUAUAGAAUUUUGAGUUUAUAAUAAUUUCCAAAAAUAUAUAAUUUUCAUAAUCAAAUUUUAUAUGAAUUAAAUCUAAAUAAGUAGAUAUGUAAUAAUAAAUCAAAAAUUAAUAAAAAAAUAUAUUUAUUAAUAAAAUUAUUAUUUACCAUGAUUGCAAAUUUAGUAUAUAUUAUAUUAUUUAAUGUUAAAUAUGAUCUUUCAUUUUAAAAAUAUAAUUUAACAUCCUUAAUAAUCAAUUUAAGAUGAAAACAAUCUCUGGUUCCUUUUAAUUUUGAUAUCAAGUAAAUUGGUCCUUCUAAAAAAUUUAGAGCAAUUUUAUCAUUGUUAAUUUCAAAAUUGAGAAACUUAGGAUAAUUAAUCACAAUGUUAAUAUUUUUGUCAUCUGUACACACUUUUAUUGGUAUAAUAACAACUUUGGCCCCAAAAGUUUACACAUUCUGUCAAUUUAGUUCUAGUUUAACAAAAUCAAAUUGCAACAUUUACACAUUAUGUAUGUUGCACAUUAUGUAUGAACUGAGUUUGUUAUUAUACUAAUCAAAAUUAUAUAUGAGUGACAAAAAAUAUUAACAUUAUUGUUAAUUGUCCUUAGUUCACUUUUGAAAUUGAUAGGGAUUAAAUUGUUCCAUUUUUUUAAAAGGGCCAAUUUGCAAAAUAUUGAAUUUAAGAGGUAUCGAAGAGGUAUUUUUAUCCAUUUUUAACCUCACCUCACUACUACAGUUGUUAUCGAAUCCAAAUAUAUAUCCAACACUGAUUAUUAUCACAUCACUACAAUAUUCAAUCUUACUAUUACAACAACUAAUCUCACCACCAAUGUUACUUUUAAUUUCAGUAGAAUUGAUCCAAUUAUACAUCCAAAGAAAACCAUAAACUUAUCCAAAUACAAAUAAAACUAUAAACAACUUAUUUAGACAUAAAUUGAAAAAUAAAUUUUAUUAUUUGACACAGUAAAAAUAUAAUUACUUGCUUGAUUUAUACAUUUGUCCAAUAGUAAUGUAACCCAUUCAAUUUGGUCAGAUUGAAGGUUAUUCUUUGAUAAGAUAUUGUUAUUAUUUGCUUUGGGCAAACUUAAUACAACUUGAUUUACUCUUUAUUAAUUAAAAAAUUAUUUAUAUUUAAUUAUAAAAAGGUGUAAAUAUUAUUAAAAUAUCAAUUUUUAAUAUCAAAUGAAUAGUGAAAUAGGGUCAACUUAUAAAGGUUAAAGUAUUUAGGAAGUCCCUAUAUUAUAGACUAUAUCAAAAUAGUCUCUCAAUUAUUAAACAGAUCAAAUUUAUUCUUGUAUUAUUAAAAAAGAAUCAAAUUAUAUCAAAUUGUAACAGAAUUAACAUUUACUAUAACAAAUUUAACAUUAACAGAGUUAACAAUUUUCAAUACAUUUUGAUGCAAUAAAUGGUACCUUUGUUGUAAUUUGGUUUUAUUUGAUCCUUUUUAGUAGUAUAGAGACUAAACUGACCAUUUAAUAAUAGAGGGACUAAUUUGAUGUAGUCCCGAUAAUACAGGUAUUUUCACCCUUAUAUAUGUGCUUGAAUCUUAUUUUGGAUGAAAUUGAACAAUUGAAAAAGAUAAGAGCUGAAAAAGGUAAAAAUAAAUGAAAUUAGCACAUUAAAUUGUAAUCAUAUACAAAAGAUUCUUAGGUAUGAGUAGGAAUAUGGAUGCCAAACAUAUCGUAAGAUGAAGCUUCAAUUUUGGUUUGCUGACAAUCUUCUUUUUGGGAAGUCACAGCAAUUACGACAGUUUGAAUUUUUAACAUCUAGCGAUGAUUGUCAAAAUAUUAUACUAACAAAUUAGGCAUAAUCACCUAUUUAGCUCUCCAACUUUACAAUAAAAAAUCAUUUUAGCCCUUCAUUUAAAUUUUUGUCUCUUUUUGUCCUUAAACUUGCAUUGUUUAUCUAUUUUAUCUAUUUUAGGGUGAUUUGAUAAAUAAUACAAGUUUAAGGACUAAAUUGAUUUUUCAUAAAGUUAAAUAUAAUAGAGAAUUUAAAAAUAAGUGAAAAUAUUUAUAUUUUAUUUUAUAUUUGUUUAGGUUCGACUUGGUCUAAAAUAUAAACUUAAAAAGUCUGUUCAAAUUUGUAAACAACUAACUCAAACUCAUUUUAAAUCCACUCAUUCUAUUUUAAAAAAAAAUUAAAAUGUAUUUAUAUUAUUUUUAACUUAAUAUUUAAUAUUUUUAUGUUUUUAUUAAAAUUUUAUAUAUAGUCAUCUUAACAUUAAUAGUUUUAUUUUUAAUUAUUAAAAUUAAAACCUUAACCAGGACAACAUCAGUAUUUGAAUUUAGUUUCGUAUUUAUUUAAUUUGGUUAGCAUGUAUUAAUAGUUUUCAUAGUCUCUUUAGUUUUUGUUUUUUUGGGAUUGUGUAAAUUUUAAAAUUUUAGAUAUUUUUAGGUUCAUAUUUUCUUUUAUAAAUAUAUAUUGUAAGCUCUCACUAAUUUUUUCAAGCUUUUAGGAGUUCCUUCUAUCGAAGCAAUAUCAUGAGCAAAUCUAUAAUCAGUAUACAUGAGAAAGAAAAAAAAUAUAAAAUAAAAUAAAAUUUAAAAAUAGACUUGGACACUUAUGGAUGUUAAAUUUGUAAUAAGUUCAAGUAAAAGGGCUAAAAUAAUCAAACUAUCGUCUAACUCAUGCUAUGAAAAAAAAUAUAAUCACAGUUAAAAAAAUAUUGUAUAUUUCGAUGAAAGUCACAAUUUAUCUUUGGUCAUGCUUGUUCGCAACUAAACCGCUAUAAUGUAACUACAUGUUCAUACAAAUCUCGCGCUAGUCGACUUUGCCCUAUGAUCCAUUAGUCAGGGGUAUUUAUCCGAUUGAUUUGUCGGUUUUGCCUUUUUUAUACUUUAAGUAAAUGUGUAUGAAGUGUGUGAGUUCCAAAUUAUACUGUAACAAAAAUUGAAAAUACCUGACAAGAUCGAAAUGAAACAAAUUAAUACCCAAAAAAUUCUUCUUCAAUAUAGAAACUAAUGCACAACGAAAAUAAAGUUGGUAAAUUAGUGGGAGAUGAAAGAAGGGUAUAGAUGUUUUGUAAGAAGCCAAAAAGGGUUGUAAUUGUUGCAGGGCAUCCAUAUUCUCAUAUCCUCAACACUUGGUAAUUGAAUGGAGCUAAGCUAAGCAUUCAUUACUCUUGGAAUUGCUCAAUAUUGGGUGUUGCGUGAAGCCCUUUCAUUAAAUGAUAGUCCACAUAAUGUACACAAAAGGGCUUGAUGGAGGGGCGAGAUACUACUAAAAUAUAUGUCAGGGGAUAAAGCUAAAUAAUUUAAGAAUUCUUCAAUUCUUAAAAAAGUCCACUUAGCAAUACAAUUUUAGAGAUUAAACCUUAUUUCUUCAAUUCUUGCAUCUUCGAUUAAGGUCCACUUAGCAAUACAAUUUUAGAGAUUAAAAAAGUUACAUUUUCAUGUAAUGUUUCUUGAGAAUUUUUUUUUCUUUUUCAAAUUUUCAUUGAUUUAAUCUAACUUUAGAUAAAUUAUUUUUUAAUGCAAUCCAAUUUGAUUUAAAUACACAAAUAUAUAAUUAUGAUUCGAUUUGAUCUGUAUAGUUUAAAAAAUUACUCAGGGGCAAAACAGCUUAGCUACGACCCGCCUUUUUUUUCUACCCAUAAACCCUCUUUUUCUUUCUUUUUCUUAUUCACUCCAUGCAUCUUUUCUUUUCAGUUUACAGAUCUAUUUGUGGGUAUUUUUGUUGUCGUCACAAGUUGUGAUGGAUAGAUGAUGGCCCCUAUUAUUGUUUGAAACACCAUCGACCACCGACAGUUUCUUUUAGAAAGUAGGUAGCUCUUCGUUGACUUCUUAAUAUGUUUCUAUUUUUUAUAUAUUUUUUUAUUGUUUAAUUAUAAGUAUUCACUUUUAGAAGUUUUUUCUACUCUUAUAGUACGUUUUUUAGUCUUACAUGCAUUGUACAUGAUUUAUAUAUUUAUUUUUAUUUACUGAAUAAUAUAUUUUUAUUUUAUGUAAUUAAUGCAAAAAAAUAAUAUUAUUCAAAUCGUGGUACAUAAUUAAAAUAGUGCAACAAUAAAAAAAAUUCAAACAUUAAAGUUUGAAAGUAAAUAAUAAUGAAAUAAAUUUUUUAGUGAUUUUAACUUCUAAUUUAAUAAAAAAAAUUAAAACAUACAAUUCUUAUGUAUAUUUUAUAAGGGUUAAAAUAUUUGAAAGUUUAAAAUUAGCCCCUCUAUUAUUAAAUGGACCAAUUUUAUAGUAGUACUAUUAAAAAGAACUAAAUAAGGUUAAAUUGUUACAGAUUUAACAUUAAUAGAAUUAACAAAUUUCAAUAUGUUUUUUAUAAAAUAAAUGUUGACUUUGUUAUAAUUUAACUUUAUUUGAUCAAUUUUAAUAGUACAGGUAAUAAAUUAACCAUUUAAUGAUAGAGGGACUAAUUUGUAUGCAGUCCCUAUAGUACCGGUACUUUAACCCAUAUAUAUAUUUGAAGUUUAUUUUAGGAUGAAAUUGAUAAAUUGAAAAAAGUAAGAGUUCAAAAAGGUAAAAACAAAUGAAAUUAGCACAUUAACUUACAAUUAUAUACAAAAGAUUCCCUCUCUUUUCCCUCCAUAAUGUCUAUCACUAUAGUUUCCCCCUUAUGUAUAAUACUACUGCUCUGCUAGUUUUAUCGGACAAAAUUAUAUUCGCAUAUUAUAUUCUUUUUCUUUAUUGUCUUCAACCCGAUAACAAGUGAAUUACUAGUUACUUUACUUGAUUUUUUCAUGCCAUUUAUCUCUUUGAGUCAAGUAGCGAAGCAUUUCUGAUGGUUCUUAUGGCUAACAGUAAGUUUUCUUGUACAAGCUCUCGUACAUAUGCAUUUGUUAAACUAAUGCACUUUUUUAUUUUAUUUUCUUCAAUUCAAUUGGUUGUUAACGUAGACAUAACCGUGCACAAAUACUAAGGGACCUUGUAAUUUUGCCUGCCAUUGGCAGUACUUUGAAAUAGUGCUGAUUUUUCUCAGCAAUUAAAAAGGAAGAGCGCAGCAGACAAAAAUGAUGUUAAGUCUAGCCAAUGGAUAAGCAGUCCGGGGGUUACCUGUACAUGCUGAAGGAGGAAGGAUAAAUAAUAGAUCAAAGACAUCAAAAGCCAAUAAAUCAAUACCUCACACACCCGUGUCAAAUGCUGGUGCGAUACUAUUUCCUACUGGCUUAGUCCAUAGAAGGAAACUUAUGAUUCACUCCACGGCUCUAUCAUCAAUGCCUCAUUGCUCGAAUUAAGAGAGAUGGAUUUUGUAGACGAGGAAUCACUGACAUUAUAUAUGAUAAUUGGCAGUUUGUCCAUCUCCUCAUAUACCUGCUGGCAGCUGCUGUUUAGAUAGUCCUUUAGGUAAUCUUUACUGCCCAUUCUUUUUUCUUUUAACAUAGUCUGUUUUAGCUCCUUAACCUGCUACGGAUGGUGAGAACGACAAUAAUGCAGUCACCAUUUUUAGGUCUGUUGACGAAAAAGUUUGUCAAUCUGAUGAAGCAUGCUGAAGAUGGUAUCCUUGACCUAAAUAAGGCUGCAGAAAUAUUGGAGGUAAUGACAUACUAGUGAGCUUAUGUAUCAUUGGGUAUUUGUUGAGUAUUUUUUUCAUGUUACUUAAAGGGUUCUUUUGUCCUUUAUUUUUCCCUGUAAAUGUUGUAACAGGUGCACAAGAGGAGGAUAUAUGAUAUAACAAAUGUCUUGGAGGGCAUCUGUUGGUGCAAGAGGCAGCAACAGGCUGUUUUGUAUCUUGCUUGAAUAGCAAGCCUCGAGCCUUGGUGAAGAAACAAACUCGGAAGCAGAAACAGAAAAUGAAAACUAGCUAGUGAAAUAACAGAAAAGAGAGAAGAAGAUUUGAAUGACAAAAUGAGCUGAUCUUUUUCAUUAACACAUCAACAAGGCAUUAAGCCAUUACAUAUAUCAGUCAACAAGUAAAACAAACAAGUAAUCACCUAAUAACAUACCUAACACCACUAAAUUUCCUAGUAACUUGGUAAACUUGAUUGAAAAACAAAAACUUCUACCUAAACUUGUCAUUCAGCACCUAAUUACAUCAAAAUACAGUUACCAACUUAGUUCAAAACAAACUAAAACACAAAAUGUUCAUUUGAGUAACCAAAUGAAACAAUGCAAUUUCGGUUUGCUGUUAAAGCACGAUCCCUGCAUGGCCACCUUGCAUGGUCACCUUAGCUGCUGCAUGGGGGUUGACUUCAACACUCCUCCUCAGCUUCUAUGCAGCAGACUCCUAGUUGCUUCCUUAGAUUUACAAAUCUCGAUGCACCAAGUGAUUUUGUGAAGAUAUCAGCUAUUUGAUCUUCUGAACUGCAAUGAAUUAGCUUGAUCUCUCGAGCUUGUUCCAUUUCUCUUAUCACAUGGAGUUUGAUGUUGAAAUGUUUUGUCCUGCCAUGGAAGACAGGGUUUUUAGCAAUAGCAACUGCUGACUUGUUGUCACAAUGUAUCACAGUUGCAUCAUUCUGCUGUAGAUUCAAAUCACCCAAAAUUUUUCUCAGCCACAUAGCUUGAUUAACAGCAUUAGCAGCUGCUACAUACUCUGCUUCUGCUGUCGAUUGAGCCACCAUUGUUUGUUUUCUUGAGCUCCAACAAAUCAUAGCUGAGCCAAGUGUAAAAGCAUAGCCAGAAGUGCUCUUUAUAUCAUCCUUUGAACCAGCCCAAUCGCUAUCAGUGUAGCCAAUCAGUUUCAACUCUUCAGCCUUUCUAAACUGUAUUCCAUGGUUUAAGGUACCUUUGAUGUAUCUUAGCACCCUUUUUCCAGCCUUGUAAUGUUGCUGGUUACAGCAGUGCAUGAACCUUGAUAGCAUGCUCACAGCAAACAGAAUGUCAGGUCUUGUUGCUGUUAAAUACAGCAAACAACCAACAAGGCUCCUAUAAAAUGAUUCAUUAACAGGCUCAUGUUCUUCUUGGCUCGACAGUUUUAUGCCAACUGCCAUAGGUGUGCAUGUUGGCUUGCAAUUUUGCAUUGAAAACUUGGAUAAAACUUUCAAAGCAAACGCCUUUUGUCCCAAAAAGAUUCCUUGAUCAGCUUGUUGUAUCUCUAUUCCAAGGAAAUAAGUCAUCAACCCCAAAUCUGACAUCUCGAACAUCUCCUUCAUUUUUCUUUUGAAAUCUUCUAACAUAGUCUUGUCUCCUCCUGUUACAAGGAGAUCAUCCACAUAAAGAGACAUAAUAAGCUGUGUUUUUGCUUGAUCCUUCUUAACAUAAAGUGUUGGCUCACUAGCACUCCUUUCAAAUCCCAAACUGACCAAGUAUGAGUCAAUUCGAGCAUACCAGGCUCGAGGGGCCUGUUUUAGGCCAUACAAGGCCUUUCUUAGCCUGUACACCAAGUGUUCCUUACCAGGCAUUAUAAAACCUGGGGGUUGCUCGAUGUAUAUCUCCUCUUCUAGAAAUCCAUUGAGGAAUGCAGACUUGACAUCCAUUUGGUGGAUUGUCCACUGGUUCUGAGCAGUAACUGCAAUCAGCAAUCUGAUUGUAUCGAGUCUGGCUACUGGAGCAAAUGUUUCCAUGUAGUCCAGACCAUACCUUUGACUGAAGCCCUUUACAACUAGUCUGGCCUUUAGCUUGUUUAAGCUUCCAUCCACAUUGUGCUUCACUCGAUAGACCCAUUUUACACCGAUAGUCUUUCUGUUGGCAGGCUUUUCAACCAACUCCCAUGUCUGAUUCUUUACAAUCAUGUUGAUUUCAUCAACCAUAGCUUGUUUCCAACCUUCAUCUGCCUCAGCCUCUUCAAAACUGCUAGGUUCUGCUAUUGCAACCUGUGCCCUUUCAUAAAUAUCUUCUAGGAGCCUUGUGCCUCUCACAGGCACAUCAUCAACAUCCAUUUCAGGUCCUAGCUGCUCAAGUUCAGCUUGAUUAGGCACUAGGUCUUCUGAAAUUGCUUCUGGCUCAUUUUUCUCCCAAUUCCAACAGGCUUUUUCAUCAAAGAUGACAUCUCUGCUCACCUGGACUUUGUUUGUCAAGGGAUCCAGAACCCUGUAGCCCUUUUUGACUGAGCUGUAGCCUACUAGAACACCUGGUUGAGCCCUUUUAGAGAGCUUGUCUCUCUUUGCUGCUGGUAUUUGUGCAUAACACAGGCAACCAAACACCUUCAGAUGUGCCAAGGAAGGCUUGAAACUGAACCAAGCCUCGAAAGGUGUCUCGGAUGCAAGAGCUUUGGUAGGAAGCCUGUUCUGAAGGUAAACAACAGUGUUUACUGCCUCAGCCCACAUGGUCUUGGGCAGUUUCUUUUCAAACAGGAGACAUCUGGCCAUAUCCAUCAGACUUCUAUUCUUUCUUUCAGCUACCCCAUUCUGCUGAGGUGUGUAGACAUUUGUAAGCUGAUGUUUGAUACCAGCAUCAUUGCAUAUGGCUUGAAACUGAGCUGAAGUGUACUCAGUGCCAUUGUCUGUCCUUAUCGAUUUCAGCUUGUAACCUGUUUCUGUUUCUACAGCAUUUUUAAACUUCACAAACACUUGAGCUACCUCAGACUUGUGUUUUAAGAAGAAAAUCCAGCAAAACCUUGUAAGAUCAUCAAUAAAAAGGAUGAAAUACCUGUUUUUGCUGAGUGAUUCAGUCCUCAUCGGGCCACAUACAUCAGAGUGCACCAGCUGCAGUCUUUCAGUAGCUCUCCAAGCUGAAUUUGUAGGAAAUGGCAGUCUUGUCUGUUUCCCCAUCUGGCAAACUUCACACACAUCAUUAUGCUCCACUGAGCUGGUGAAGUUCUCUGCCAAGCCCUCUUUGGCCAAUCGAGCCAUUGAUCUGAAGUUGGCAUGUCCAAGCCUUUGAUGCCAAAGCUUGAAGUCAUCAACAGAAGUUGUGUAUGCUGAGUUUGAGUCAUUUGCCCAGUGAGCUUCAAAGCAUUUAUCAGUCAUUGUGACUGUCAUAAGGCUUGAUCCACUUGGAUCAGUAAUGUGGCAUUGUUUGUCCUUGAACACAACAGAAUAACCUUUCUCGAGCAGUUGAGCUAUGCUGAGAAGGUUUCUGUCAAUCUCUGGCACCAACAGCACAUUUGGAAUGAUCUUGUUGCCUGUGGGAGUACAUAUCAGCACUUCUCCUCUUCCUUCAGCCCUUAUAAACUGACCAUUUCCAACCUUGACCUUGGUUUUAUAACUUCUGUCCAAGGUUUUAAACAAGGAGGCAUCUGGUGACAUGUGGUUAGUGCAACCACUGUCCAGCAACCAGCCUUUUGAGCAUUUCUUCUCAGCAUCUAAACAGGAAACAGCAAAGACCUGUUCUUCUUGGUCACUACUGUCCUUAGCUACUCGAGCUUCAACCUUUGACUGCUGAAAUUGAUUCUGCCUUGGCUUACUCCUGUUUUUACAGACCCUUUCAACAUGGCCCUUCUUCUUGCAGUGUUGGCAUACUGCAUCUGGCCUAAACCAGCAUCUGUCUUCUGGAUGGCCAGGCUUCUUGCAAUAUCUGCAGGGCUGGUCAUUGCCCCUUGCAGCAUCAGGCUUAGGCCUGCUUUUCCAAGGCUUUUUGCCUCUUUGAGCAUUGGUGCUCGAGGCUUCUCUGGCCUUGGCUUGAAAUGCACCUUCUUGGUGAUCUUCAGCUCUGCUAGCUCUCCUUUGUUCCUAAGCAUAGAAGGUGUUGAUUAACUCAGUCAAAGAGAUGCUAGCAAGGUCUCUUGAGUCCUCUAGGGAGGAUAUCUUUGCUUCAUAUUUCUCAGGCAAAGUGGAGAGGACUUUCUCCACAAUUCUUGCCUCAUCAAAGUGCUCACCUAAGAGCCUUAUGCUGUUAACCACUGCCAUAAUUCUAUCUGAAUACUGCUUCACUGUUUCUUCUUCCUUCAUCUUCAAAUUCUCAAAAUCCAUUCUCAAGUUCAACAGCUGCUGUUGCCUUGUUCUCUCAGUGCCUUGAAACUCCUCCUUAAGCUUGUCCCAGGCCUGUUUUGGAGUCUCACAGGCCAUAAUUCUGGUAAAGAUGACAUCUGAUACACAGUUCUGAAUGCAGGACAUGGCUUUGUGCCUUUUGGUCCUCUCAUCAGCAUGUUGUCUGAUUUGAGCUACUGUGGGAUUAGCCCUCAGUGGUGCUGGCUCAGCAUCCGUGUUAACAACUUCCCACAGAUCAAAGGCCUGCAGGUAAGUCUUCAUCUUUACCAGCCAUAUGUGAAAGCUUUCUCCAUUGAAGACUGGUAGGGCUGCUGGUGAAAAUCCUGAAGAAGCCAUCAGGUUCCUUGGUUUGAAGCAACAGGUCCACUAAGACAACGGCUCUAGAUACCAAUUGUUGGUGCAAGAGGCAGCAACAGGCUGUUUUGUAUCUUGCUUGAAUAGCAAGCCUCGAGCCUUGGUGAAGAAACAAACUCGGAAGCAGAAACAGAAAAUGAAAACUAGCUAGUGAAAUAACAGAAAAGAGAGAAGAAGAUUUGAAUGACAAAAUGAGCUGAUCUUUUUCAUUAACACAUCAACAAGGCAUUAAGCCAUUACAUAUAUCAGUCAACAAGUAAAACAAACAAGUAAUCACCUAAUAACAUACCUAACACCACUAAAUUGCCUAGUAACUUGGUAAACUUGAUUGAAAAACAAAAACUUCUACCUAAACUUGUCAUUCAGCACCUAAUUACAUCAAAAUACAGUUACCAACUUAGUUCAAAACAAACUAAAACACAAAAUGUUCAUUUGAGUAACCAAAUGAAACAAUGCAAUUUCGGUUUGCUGUUAAAGCACGAUCCCUGCAUGGCCACCUUGCAUGGUCACCUUAGCUGCUGCAUGGGGGUUGACUUCAACAGCAUCCCUUCAUUUGAAUACGGUUUGGAACCCUAAAAAAACAUAAAUGUGUUUUUUCCUGAGUUGGCACGUAUUUUGCAAUAAGAAAAAUAAAGAGUACAAUUAAGAUGUUUACGCAGUUCGAAACUUGUCCUACGUCUGCGAAGCUUUGCCCAAAGAUGAAUCCACUAUGAACUUCAUAGAACAAAGAAAUGAUUUAAGCUUAUCCCCUAAAACACUUGAUGCAAUCUCACUUUUGUACAAUUAAGUAAAUUCUCUCCCAACUCAUUUUAGCUAUGCAAGUGAAAAUUCACAUUCAACUCUCAGAUGGUUUUCCUACUAUGAAUCAAGCUCUUAAUAAGCUCCAUGUAAAGUGGAAUAAUGAAUUUUCCAAUGCAAUAUGUCUCGCAAUUGUCAUGCUUGAACAACGACUCUUCCAAAACCAUCAAUGAACCUGAAAAUUAUAAAUUGCCAACAUAGAAUAUGUUACAAAUCCCAUUAUUAUCAGCCUUAUAUUUGCACAUAUGUGUGUUUAGUAUAAUGCUGUUGAUGUAUAAAUAAUGAAACAUUUUAGCAACUUCAACCUCACCACCAAAUAUUCUGAAGUAUUUUCCUUUUUUUCCUGUUUGGACCUUCAAUAACAAAUUUGGCUGGAAUUCCGAACAGCUAAAAGAGUGUCCUGCAUCAAUGAAUAUUAUGAAUUUGAAUACCUCCAAAAGCCUGUCAAUAGCACAUGUAACAUCUAAGAUAGUAAUCAGUUGGCAUAUAUUAAGAGAAAACAUAAAUUUAUAUAAAGAUAUGAUAGGUAAGUGCUUAAAUGAAGAAAGCAGAUCAUAUAGUACGACCAUUUUGAAGGCUUCAUAGGCCUCUCUCUCCACAUCAAUGGUUUUUUAGAAUUAAAUUAUUAGAAGCAAUUGUCAAGUUAUAAUUAUGAUUUAAACGUAAAAAGGAAAUAGACAAAUGAGCACCUCUUUUUGUGCAUAUAAAAUGAUUGAAGUUGACUAAUGCCUUUCGCCAAUGCCUUACUGCACAAAUCAGCAAAAAUAUUAUGAAAGAGGAUAAGUAAAAAGUAGGAUUAAAACAAAGGGAUUUUAACAAGGAAAUUAACAGUAUCCAACUUCAAUGAAAAAUGGAUAAGGUCAUCAAAAUAAAUAAAUAAAUAAGACAGACCAACCUGAUUCAACCCAAUGCUGGGGAUGUGAGCAAUCCUUUGCCAUUCAGCGCCAAUGCCCUUCGGACAUCUUUCCUCCAACUGAGGAAUUUCUCCUAUUUGUAAAUACUCCAAACUGGUCAGGCAACGCAUCUCGUCCGGAAGAGAUGUUAAAUUGGGCAAAUUAACUAGAUAAAGCUCUUGCAGAUUUGUUAGAUGUUGAAGCCACUCCGGAAGAUGCCGACACUUUGGAAUAUUUUGCAGCCAUAGAGAGCGUAGGCUUGUAUGGUCUUGGAAUAUUUGGAUGCCAGCUCCAGAUAACUCCAGCUCCUUGCAGUCCAUUACUUCAAACUCUUCAAGGAAAGUGAGAUGUUGGAACACAGGAAGCAGUGACCUCAAUCCAUUGCAGUUAUGAAUUUUUAAUGUUUUCAAUUGAACAAGAUGUUGAAGCCAAAUGGGGAGAGACACCAGCUUUGGAAUAUUAUAAAUCUUCAAAUGAGAGAGAUUCUUAAGGGGUUCCCAUUGCAUGCCCUCUAAAUCAACCUCCUUGCAAUCUCUUAUUGUUAAUCUUUUGAGGCUGGUGAGAUGUUGCAGGCACUCAUCUAGCGUGUGAGUGUCCAACCCCUCAAUGUUGCCUACAAGGAAAGAUUUCAAUCUGGAGAGAGGAAGAGAAGAGGUUGAAGUUGAUGGGGUCGUACUAGUGAUGUUCAUCUUCAUGGUCUGCUUUAACGGCCUUGAACUGGUAUUCCUCAACUUUAGCUUAUCAUCGAGUGAAGGAUACAACGGCAUUGAUGUCAAAGGGCAAUUUUGAAUUGUUAAAGAGGAAAGACAAGGAAAUGCCAUGGUUGAUGGUCCCAUAUCUGUUGUGUCGUCCUCGUUGGAAUCAUCAUCGAUUGGUUUUGUCGUCCUCCACCAACUCUUCAUAUUUGGGCAAUCCUGUAGGCAAAGAUACUUAAGCGAUGGGAAGAAUGAUUGUGGUUCUCCUUGACUUCCUUUUGGGCUAUUAUCAUCCAUGUACUCCAGUUCAGUUAAAUCACAAAUUACCAAAUCUUGAAGACAAGGAAAUUGAGCAAAGGAUGGGAGAUGUUUGAAUUUACCACCACGACCCAUUAUUUUAAUAUGGACGAGAUUUGUGAGAAAAGAAAUCCAACUUGGAAACUCAGCAUCACCCCUCCAUCCUGUAAUAAAGAGCUUCUUGAGAUUAGGAUGGGGCUGGAGGUCUUCAAGUGACUUCUCAUAAUCAUCUUCAUCAUCAAUAUCAACAUUCCAUUCUAAAACCAACGAUCUCAAAUGUUGCUUCUCUUUCAAAUUAGCAGCCUUAAACUUCUCUUUUGCAUUUUUUACGAAUCCCAAAUUUGUUAUUUCUAGAUGUCCCCUUAAGUUAUUAAGCAGUCUCAAUUCACUUAGAUCUGCACCGCCAUGGGACCCAUCUUUAUCCACUACAAACAUGCUUAACGUCUCAAGUGAAGUCAGCUUACCUAUUCCACAUGGCAUAUGAGUUAAGCCAUUACAAUCUUCACACCCAAGAUGGGUAAGAUUCACCAAUUUUUCAAUCUUCUUUGGCAAUUCUUUAAGCCCAUCACACAAGUCAAGUUUCAGCGCUAGCAAAGUCUGAAUCUUGCAAAUACUCUGUGGGAGAAUCUUAAUGCCGGGAUUAUUAGAAAGAUCAAGGUACCUCAAAUAUUUCAACUUACAAAUGGAGGGUGAAAUCUUUUGAAUACCUAUAGAAUCCAAUUUCAAUACACGCAAGCAUCUACAAUUUGCAAUUAUCAAAUCCGAAGUUUCAUAGCUGAAAUUUUGAUCUAUGUUGUUUGGAAAGUUUAACAAGGUUCGCAACUUCUUUCCCUUAAAUAAAGGAAUUAAUGAAGGUUUAAUUGAUAUGUGGCGACAUUUUUCACCAACAUCACUUGCAAUUUUUUUGAAUCUACAAUACUACUCUCCAUCCCUGCUACUGAUUCAGCUAGAUCAUGCAUUAAAUCAUGCAUUUUACAUGUCAUAUCUUCCAUCAAGUCUCCUUCUACCUCUUGGAAGAAACUUCUUUCAAUUAAAUCUUUAAAAUACCCAAAUCCGAUCUCCUCGAGAGAUUGACUUUGAUACAAUUUCUUUAUGAAACCCUGUGCAAUCCAAAAUUGAACAAGCGCUUGUACUUCAAUUCUGUAAUCUUUUGGAUACAAUCGGCAAUAAGCAAAGCAAUGCUUCAAAUGAGACGGGAGAUGAUCAUAACUCAAUUUCAGUAUAGGUAGAAGUUCUCCUUCAAUUUUUGAAAUUUUAGCAAGUUCAUUUUCUUUGAAAGAAUGCCACUCAUUUGCAGUUUUCUUCAAAGAUAAUGUACCAGCUAUCGUCCUUAUGGCUAAGGGAACCCCACCACACCUUUCCGAAAUCUGUCUCCCUACUUCCACAAAGGCUGAAUUUGUUGAGUCUGCAUGUCCUUGCUCAAAUGCUAUCUUUUUGAACAAAGACCAAGCAUCAUCAUCAGACAAGCCUUUCAAUUUCAAAACAUGGGAUUGACAUUUAUUAGUUAUCUCCGCUACCCUCAGAGAUCGAGUAGUUACUAUUAUCCUACUCCCUUUAGCCCCACCCACCAAUAACUUCUUUAGCCUAGACCACUUUUCUAGGUCCUCAUUCCAAAUGUCAUCCAAAACAAGCAAAUAUUUUUUCCCAUCAAUUUUAUCUCGAAGUUGUUUUUGCAAUUGAUCCAUUUCAAGAUUUUGAUCAGGUGCAUGAUGAGUCACAGAUUUGAUAAUGUUUGCUACAAUAGCUUUCACAUCAAAAUCAUCUGAAACACACGCAAACAUCGUUAAGUCAAAAUGAUUUUUGACCUUUCAUGGUUAUAGACAAGUUGGGCCAAAGCAGUCUUCCCUAACCCUCCAAACCCCACAAUUGGAAUGAUAUAAACAUUCUCUUCACUUUGAAACUCCAACACGAGUUUUAGAAGAGCUGCUUUAUCAUCAUCCCUCCCUAUUAUGUCAUCUUAACACUCAAAAGAGUGCGUUUGCUGCCUCCUUUUAGUCAUGAAAGAGGUUUUCGCGGGGCGAUCAUGCGGAAUGAAGCCAAAAGUGUUGGUCCCGCUUUCAAUUGAAGCUAAUCUCGCCUUAAUGGCCUUCAUUUUCCGACCCAUUUUGAGACCAUAAGCAAAUUGGUUUGAGGUUGAGAAGAAAAGGCGUACCUCUUUCGUCAGCUUGUUCCCACCCGAUACAUCUUUCCGCAAAGCUUCAGUAGAGAAAUCAUCAAGCAAGUCGUCGGCAUCAUAAAGUACAUCUUUCAGCUCUUCAAGCCAAACUUUGACGAGAUUGUCAGUCACCGAUUUCUCUUCUGCGUCAAGAAGCACAGCUUUGAUUUGACAGACAGUGCGUUUGAGGUCGUGGAUGUCAUGUUUUAGAUUCCACCACAGCCCAACUUGAGAGAGAGCACGAGAGCUCAACUUAAUAAUGAGCUCUGCGGCAAUGUCGAAAGCAAUUGCUUCGGCCAUUGGUGGUUCAAACUGAAAUCAAUGCAAAAAGUGUUUGAUUCGUGAAAGAGGAGGACUAAUAUGAGAAUGAUUCCAACAAGAUGAAACACAGAUGUAGAUCCAUACACGCGGAGACUGAAGUAUAUUUAUAGAUGUUACCAUCCACCCAGCAAGUAGUAUAAUUAAAUAAAAAGUAAUUUUAAGAGAUUCAUUAAUAUAAUUAUUUGUCUAUGCAAUAUGUCAAAGUAAAAUGUAAGAGGUUGAUUUGGCAUAUCCCAAAACAUUUUGUUAUAGUUUGGAUGGUCAUUCUUGUCAAGUUACCUAUCAUUGGCAAAGCUUGGUAGAGACUCUUAAAAUGGUAAAUUUUUAAUUUAAACCUUUUAUAAUUUAUAAAAUUUUAAAUUAAUAAUGAUAAAAUUAUAAUUUAAUCCUCUAAAAAUUUAUAAAAAAAUUAAUUUAACUCUUUAAAAAUUAUAAAAAUAUACUACUAUAAAAAUAUAUAAUUUAAUUCUGACUAAAAAUUUUUUUAGCUCGGCUACCGUUGCCUAUAAAAGAAAAAUAAAUUUCGUUUUCCACACAAUAUGUGGAGAGAUAUUGGGUUUAUGUCAGCUCCAUGGGAAUGUAUUUUAUUGGAAUUGAAGGAAAAAUCAUUACUUAUACCCUCGUGAAGAUUGCUUCCAAUGCCCAUAUCUAUUUAAUUAUUUUAUUACUCAUAAAAUUGUUUAUUGUGAGUUGGAUGCUUUUGGUUUGAUUAUUUAAGAUGUUUUAUUUUUAAAUAUAUUCUUAAUUAUUUAUUUUACAUAUACAUGUAUUUUAACUUAAUAUAUUUAAUAGUGAUUUUGUUUUUUAUAAAAAAAGGACCCAAAGGUACUACCUCAUUUUAAGUUGCAUCAUAAAUUACAAUGUUAUGGAUAUCGCUAGGAUAAUUCAUCCCAAAAGACAAAUUACAACACUUAGAAAGAGCCCAAUUACGAAGAGAAUCGACUAAUUUGUUACAACCACGUUUCACCCAUUUGACCUCGGCGGAAACAAAAGAAUCAAGCAUCUUGUGAGCUCAUUGAUGCAGUGAUCAAGGGUCGUUAUGUCCUCUUUGUGAAAACUAAAGCGGUUGACAAUGCUAGCACAAUCUGCUUCAAAUGACAUUAUCGGCUUCAAAAAAUUGAGCAUGCCGAAAACCAUCGAUGAGGGCAUCUAAUUCUGCUUUAAUAGUGAUUUUUUAUUCUCAUUUUAUCGGUAUAUUUGUUGGAACAUUUUCAAAUAUUUAUAGUGUUCCAAUAACUAUAAAUGAAUGGGUGUAAUUAAUCAAAAGAUUACAUUAUUUGAUUUUUUUGAAAAAGAGUUAUAACUAUUUAAAUAAUAUUAUUUGAAUAGUUAUAAAUGUAUAAUUAUGUGUUUAUUUUUAAGACAUUAUUAUUCAGAAAGACACCUAUUGAUGAAGAGACAUGAAAAUUUCUAUAAGUAGGAAUGGAAUUUCAUUUGGAAAACAUACCAAAAAAUUCUAAAUAUUCUUUCUUUCCUUCAUUCAUUUUCUAAUAUUAUUAGAUUAUUCUAUAAAGUAUUACUGCAGAAAUUCUUUGUAGAAAUUGAGUUUUUGAUAUAUAUUGCUUAGUGCUUAGUGGACUAUUCUCGUCAGUGCAAAACGCAAAUAGUCAUUAGCUUCAUUGUAUCCUCGAGGUUAAUUUGCUUGAAACUCAUUUGCACACCGAAGAUAGGUGGGGGUGAAUAUAACCUUAAAGAUAGUGGCUUGAUACACGCCUUGGAGCAUUGCCAUUUUUCUUCUUUUUCUGUUCGAGUUCUGUUUGUGUGUUCGAGAUUUUUCUCACUGGAGUUUUGUACUAACAAUUUUAAGGUUAUAAUUCAUGAUGACUACCACAACACAUGAAAGUGGAACACUAAGGGAGUUGGCUUCCAACUUUGUUAAACUUGAUCGGUUUGAUGGUUGUAAUUUUCGACGAUGAUAGAAAAAUAUGCACUUCUUAUUAUCAACUUUGAAGAUUGCUUAUGUUUUGGAUACUCCAAGACCUGAAGAGAAUGAAAACCAAUCUGUUGUUGCAACUUGAGAAAGAUAAAAAUGGGACAAUGCUGACUACAUGUGCAUGGGCCACAUAUUGAAUGGUUUAUCUGAUGGUUUGUUUGACACCUACCAAAACGAGGUCACCGCUAAAGAAUUAUGGGACAAAUUGGAGACAAGAUACAUGACUGAAGAUGUUACAAGUAAGAAAUUUCUUGUCAGUCGUUUCAAUAAUUAUCAAAUGGUUGAUGGUCAUUCUAUUAUGGAACAAUUCCGUGAUAUUGAAAAGAUGUUGAAUCAAUUCAAGCAAUAUGAUAUGAAAAUGGAUGAAAUGAUUGUUGUAUCCUCCAUAAUAGACAAACUUCCUCCAUCUUGGAAAGACUUUAAAAGAAGUCUAAAACAUAAGAAAGAGGAAAUAUCUCUUGAGGCUUUGGCAAAUCAUCUUCGUAUUGAAGAAGAGUAUAGAAAACAAGAUCAAAACCUAAAUUCUGAAAAUGCCAAAGUGCAUGUUACGGAAGAAGUACAGACUACUAAACCAUUCAAGAGAAAGUUUAAACAGACUGAUAAAGUACCUAAGUUCAAAAAGAAACAAAAGGGCUCAUGCUAUCAUUGUGAAAAAUCGGGACAUUUCAAGAAUGAAUGUCGAUUUUUAAAGAAGAAAUCAUCUUUUAAGGCUGAUAAUAACGAAAAAUUCGUUGCAAUGAAAUCUGAAAUUAAUAUGGCACAAGAUGAAAGUACAUGGUGGAUUGAUACCGGAGCAACCAAACAUGUGUGCAAAGACAAAAGCAUGUUCACAAAGUCCACACAAUGAAAAAAUGACAAUGUCUUGUACAUGGGAAAUUCUUCCACCGCAGCAAUCAAAGGCAAAGGGUCUGUUGAACUACAAUUCACUUCUGGAAAGGUUUUAACCUUAAAUGAUGUAUAUUAUGUACCAGAAGUUUGAAAUAAUUUAGUGUCUGGAAGUCUGUUGAAUAAGUUUGGUUUCAAACUUGUUUUUGAGGCAGAUAAGUUUAUUUUGUCUAAGGGAGGAAUUUUUGUGGGGAAAGGGUAUAUGUAUGAGAGCAUGUUCAAACUCAAUAUUAUUAAUAAAAAUAAAAAUACUAUUUCUACUUAUAUGGUUGAAUUUUUUUGUUUGUAGCAUUAUAGAUUAGGUCAUUUGAAUUAUAGAAAAUUGAAUGACAUGUAUAAGUUAGAUUUAAUUCCUAUUUUUAAUAAUAACAUUGAAAAAUGCAAUACAUGUAUGUUGACUAAAAUUACAAGAAACCCUUUCCCUAAGGUUAAAAGGAAAACAAAAUUGCUUGAUUUGAUACAUAGUGAUUUAUGUGACAUGCAUAAUACUCCUACAUUAGGUGGAAAGAAAUAUUUUGUUACUUUUAUUAAUGAUUGUUCUAGAUAUUGUUAUGUAUAUUUAUUGCAUUCAAUAGAUGAAGCGCUUAAUAAAUUUAAAGUUUAUAAAUCUGAAGUUAAACUUCAGUGUGAGUCAUUUAUCAAGUGCUUAAGAUCAGAUAGAGGUGAAGAAUACUAUAAUCCAAGUUAUUUUGAAUCCACUGGAAUUGUCCAUCAAGUUUCAGCCCCUUACACACUACAACAAAAUGGUGUAGCUGAAAGGAAAAAUAGAAUCUUGACUGAAAUGGUAAAUUCAAUGUUAUCAUAUUCAGGUAUUGGACAAGGUUUUAGGGCGAAGCUGUUCUAACAACUUGUCAUAUAUUUAAUAAAGUUCCUAAUAAGGAAACUAAAAUAACCCCCUAUGAACAAUGGAAGAAAAGGAAACCAAACCUUAAUUAUUUGAAGGUUUUGGGUUGUAGAGCUAUUGUAAAAGUUCCAACACCUAAACAUAAAAAGUUAGGUGAAAGAGGAAUUGAAUGCAUAUUUAUAGGUUAUGCACAUAAUAGCAAGGCAUAUAGGUUCAUGGUAAUUGAACCAAAUGAUUCAAUUUCAAUUAAUAAUGUUAUUGAAUCAAGAUAUGCUAUUUUUGAUGAAAAUAGAUUUAAUUCUAUAUCAAGACAAUUACAGCCACAACAAUUGAUUCAUUCUUCAAAUGAGAAUGAGAUUCCAUUGGAACAAAUUGAUAAUAAUAAUGAAUCUUGUCAAGAAUUAAGAAGAAGUAAGAGGAUUAAAAAGGUCAAAGAUUUUGGACCAGAUUUUAUUAUGUUUCUUGUAAAAGAAAAAGGUGAAAGUAUAUGCAAUAAGAUACCUUAUUGUUAUAAUACAGAAUCUGAUCCUAUUACAUUUGAAGAGGGCAAUGAAAUCUCAAGACUCUACUUUUUGGAAAGAAGCAAUAAAUGAUGAGAUGGAUUCAAUAAUGGGAAAUCAAACUUGGAUCUUAGUUGAUCUUCCACCAGGUUCUAAACUAAUAGGUUGUAAAUGGAUCUUCAAAAAGAAAAUGAAGGUCGAUGGAACCAUUGAUAAAUUUAAAGCAAGGUUGGUAGCCAAAGGUUUUAUACAAAAACAAGGUAUUGAUUACUUUGAUACCUAUGCUCCAGUAGCAAGAAUUGCUACAAUUAGACUCUUAAUAUCACUUACCUCUAUAUAUAAUUUAGUUUUUCACCAAAUGGAUGUUAAAAUUGUAUUUUUAAAUGGUGAAUUAGAUGAGGAAGUGUACAUGGAGUAACCGGAAGGAUUUAUUGUUCUAGGACAAGAGCAUAAGGUAUGUAAGCUUGUUAAAUCUUUAUAUGGGCUUAAACGAGCACCAAAACAAUGGCACCAAAAGUUUGACAAGGUUGUUUUAGCUAAUAGCUAUAAAAUAAAUGAAUCUGAUAAGUGCAUAUAUAGCAAAUUUGAAAAUGGAAAAGGUGUCAUAAUUUGCUUAUAUGUAGAUGACAUGCUCAUUUUUUGCACGGAUUUGGAAUAAAUAGAAAACACAAAGAAAUUCUUGUCAAACAACUUUGCUAUGAAGGAUAUGAGUGUAGCAGAUGUUAUUCUUGGGAUUAAAAUAACCCGAGAUGAAAGCACUAUAGCUUUAUCACAAUCACAUUACAUUGAAAAUGUGCUUAAAAAGUUUGAUCUUUUCAACUGUAUACCAGCAUCUACACCCAUGGAUCCUCAAAUAAAAUUAGUAUCUAAUGCUAGUAGGAAAAUUGAUCAAUUGAAAUAUGCAAGUCUAAUUGGUUGUCUUAUGUACAUAAUGACUUGUACAAGACCAGAUAUUUCAUAUGUUGUUGGAAAAUUGAAUAGGUACACAAGUAAUCCAAGUAGUUUGCAUUGGCAAGCUUUGAAUAGAGUACUUAAGUACUUAAAGAAAACUAUUAACUAUGGAUUGUGUUAUAACAGAUAUCCUCCAGUUUUAGAAGGUUAUUCGGAUGCUAGUUAGAUUACAAGUUUGGAAGAUCAUGCAUUUACUAGUGGAUGGAUCUUCAUUCUUGGUAGAUGAGCCAUUUCUUGGGGUUCCAAGAAACAAACAUGUAUUACUAAUUCCACCAUGGCAGCAGAAUUUAUUGCAUUAGCUGCUGCAUUUAAAGAGGCAGAAUGGUUAAGAAAUUUUCUUUAUGAUGUACCUUUAUGGCCUUAGCCAAUUUCACCUAUUUCUAUCCGUUGUGAUAGUGAGGCUACUCUAGCAAAGGCAUAUAGCCAAGUAUAUAAUGGAAAGUCUAGACACAUUGGAUUAAGACAUAGUUAUGUCCGAUAAUUAAUCUCUGAUGGAGUGAUCACUAUUAAUUAUGUGAGGUCAAGUGAAAAUUUGGCAGAUCCUUUGACAAAAAGUCUUGCUAGAGAUAUAAUAAAAAGGACCUCAAAAGGGAUGGAACUCAAGCCCAUUAAUUAGAGUCACCCAUGAUGGAAACUCAAAUCAAUGCUUGGUAUAACGUCAAGUCUUGAGUUCAAUGAGACAAAGUACAUCAUUAGUAUGUGACUGUUAGCACUAUAAAUAAAUCCAUCCUAAGAUUAAAGUGCUAGGUAUCCGUAAUGAUAAGGAAAGGAUGAAUAAUGUACUCUUAACGGACCCAUAACAGAAAUAUGUUAGAGUGUUAUAAUUACGGGAACACUCUUAAUGGGAUCUACCUAUGUGAGUGGAAGUGCGGCCGCUUCUAGGAGCUCAAGGGUUUGACUCUGACAGCACUCAUGAAAAGAGGACACAGACAUAUGGCCAUAAUAGUGUCUUUAGAUAUUAUGCAUUGGCCGAUGUUGAAAUCAUUGUACGAGAUGUGUUCAGUUAAUCAAAUGGAAUAGUUGGUUCAAAGCUUUGUCUACCGUGCAUUUUUUAUUAACUUUAACAUAUAUUCACUAAGUGAAGGUUCAAUCGUAAGAUAUCUUCAUUUAUGCAAAUUGAUUUCCAAGAAUAUCAAAAUCUAAAAUAUUUUGAAAAUGGGGGGGAGAUUGUUGGAACAUUUUCAAAUAUUUAUAGUGUUUCAAUAACUAUAAAUGAAUGGGUGUAAUUAAUCAAAAGAUUAUAUUAUUUGAUUUUUUGAAAAGGAGUUAUAACUAUUUAAAUAAUAUUAUUUGAAUAGUUAUAAAUGAAUAAUUAUGUGUUUAUUUUUAAGACAUUAUUAUUCAGAAAGACACCUAUUAAUGAAAGAUGUCUCUAUGAAGAGACAUGAAAAUUCCUAUAAAUAGGAAUGGGAUUUCAUUUGGAAAACAUACCAAAAAAUUUCAAAUAUUCUUUCUUUCCUUCAUUCAUUUUCUAAUAUUAUUAGAUUAUUCUAUAAAGUAUUACUGCAGAAAUUCUUUGUAGAAAUUGAGUUUUUGAUAUACAUUGCUUAGUGCGUAGUGGACUAUUCUCGUCAGUGCAAAACGUAAAUAGUCAUUGGCUUCAUUGCAUCCUCGAGGUUAAUUUGCUUGGAACUCAUUUGCACAUCGAAGAUAGGUGGGGGCGAAUAUAACCUUAAAGAUAGUGGCUUAAUACACACCUUGGAGCAUUGUCCUUUUUCUUCUUUUUUUGUUCGAGUUCUGUUCGUGUGUUCGAGAUUUUUCUCACCGGAGUUUUGUACUAACAAUAUUUACAUUGAAUUCAAAUACAUAUUCUACAAUUAACUUUAAUCUCACUGUUACAAUACUUAACCUCACUAAAUUACUUGUUUAACAUGAUUAUCGUGAAUUUAUAGAAAGAAAAAUCACGAAGCAAAUGCAGAUGCACUUAUGUUUAAAGUGUUUUUAAUUGAACUUUUAUUAUUUUGAAAAAUAAAAGUAUAAUAACUUUUUUUGCAUUCCAACUUUAUAAAAGAAUUAUUUUAGCUCUUUAUUUAUUUCCCUUCUCUUUUAGUCUUUGAACUUACAUUUUUUUUGUCAAACCAUCCAAAAUGGGUGAAAAAGUUAACGUUUGUUAACUUUGUUGACAUGACAUAUAGGUGGAUUACCACGAGUAUGUCACGUUAGCAAUUAAUUAUUUUUAAAAAAUUAAAAAAUAUUUUCUUAUUAUUUUUUAAUUUUUUUAAUUUUUUUAAUGUUUAAAAUAUUUUUUAAAUGUUUUAAAAUUUUAAAAAAUAAUUAAUUGCUUAUGUGGCAUAUACAUGGAAAUCCGCGUGUAUGUCACAUCAGUAAAAUCAACAGACGUUAAAUUUUCACUCAUUUUGGAGUGAUUUAACAAAAAUUACAAGUUUAAGAACUAAAAGAAACGAAAAAUUAAAUGAUAAGUUGAAAUAACUUUUUCCGUAAACUUGGAGACCAAAAGAAUCAUUAUGGCAAAAAAUAGUUGUUUUUCUUCUCUUUUCUUCUUUUCUUUUUGGUAUCUUUUAGUGCUAAAAUUCAAGAUGGUGUGGAAUAGUUUCUAAUCUUAUUAUUGUUAUAUAUGUUUUCGAUCUCAUUAGAGCUAUAAUCUCAUUGUCUAUAUAAAGAGAGCCUAAAUAUAAUUUGUUCAGCUUCUAUUAAACAUGUUAGUGCUCCUUUGUACGAUCAUUUUCCUCCCGUGAGUAGGGUUGAGUAAAUAAAAUAAAAUAAUUGAAAAUCGAUCCAAAUCAAGGUGUUUAGACGGUUUAUGGAAUACAAAUUAAAAAAUCACAAUUAUCCGAAACCGAACAAAAUUCUAUUCUUUAUUUAACUUAUAAAUAAUUUUUUAUAACAUAAAAAAUCUUUUAUAUUGAAAAAUAGUGAAAAUAAAUAUAUAUAUAUAUUUUAAAAAUAUUAUAUAAAAGUAUUUGAUUAUUUUUAUUUACUUAAAAAAUUUUAAAAAAUAUCUAUGAAAAUAACUUUGAAAAUUUGUCUAAUGAUAAUUAAAAGCCGUAAAAUAAAGUUUAUUUUAUUAAAAUAAUUAUAAAAAUUUAUAAUAAAAAAUCGAACUAAACUAAAUUAUAAUGGAUGGAUAAAAAAAUGCAAUUGAAUUAAACUAAUAUCACUUAAUUUUAUUGCACCAAACUGCACAUAAAAGAUUUUCUUAAAAAAUUUAACCUGCAAUGACACUGUUUUUCUCACUAAAACCUUCUAGAGCGUGCAAUGUCCUCGCCAAGUAAGUAAAUUCAAUAGAGGUUGGAGGCUAAAGGUUGAUACAUAAAAGAAGGGGAGGGGCACAGUUCUGCUUCAACCAAAACCCCAAAUUUAGCAUCUUGAGUUGUUAAAAUAAGUAAAUUCACCAUACUUUUCCGUUAGAUUUUGGCUCUCUUCUUCAGCAGAAUGUGGCGUACAGUACAAGAAGCAGGGACCAUCCUUUCUACCAUGAUUUGAUUAUCUGCCCACAUAUUCCAACAAAACGAAUAUGGUAAUAAAUGUCAUCAAUUUCCUUCUAAUUUCCAAUUGAUCUGAUAGAAAUGGUGUAAUUCAAGAGUACUUGUAUAAUAUAUAUGCCCAACUGAGUACUAGAUGGAAUCUAUGCUGUUGACGGACUCUUGGAGGCAUGUUCGAGAGAGCUUAAACACAUUUAUAUUUUUCAGUGUUCCAUACAAUAUUCUAAUGAGUGUCGAAUUCAUUAAAAUGAUGUAAAAAAUAAUAUAAGGAGUAGGGUCAAUCCACAGAAAUUGAGAUAUCAACAUUUGUUGUUUGCUUCAACCAAGUUGCACGUCUAGAUUCUUAUCCUGCCCACGAGGUGUGACUGUCUGUGCAAAAAUAAAAAGAAAAAUUCUAAUGUAAUAAAAGUAAAAAUAAUAAAGAUAAAAAUAAGCAAAAAGGAAAUUAAAUUAAAUAAACUAAUAUGAUGGAAUUCAAGCUUUAAGCUCGAUUUUGUUCCAAUUUCAAACCAAUGCACGAUAACAAGUCUUCUCCUUCAACCGAUAAGCCAGUUAUAGUGAUCGAGGAUGCCUCAGACCACUAACCCUUCCAUAUGUAAAUUAAUUACGAGAACACCCAACAAUUAAUCCUUAUCGAACCAACAACCACAAAACACGCAUCCACGAUUUAGCUCUCUGGUAGCCUUGUGAGCUAAAAGGGUCCAUCUCGAACCAACAACGUCAAUUACGUGAGUCGUUUAGAUCCGAUUGCUAACUUCUUAGUUGGACACGCCAAUGUGUUCUUCGGAAGAUCAAAUACGACAAAUGCUCAAUCCGGUACUUCCAAUUGUACGUCUAUCAACACCGAAUCAACGAGCUAUUUUUAACAUGGUGUGAACACAACUUUGUGAGAUGCCAAUAUCUAUCUCCUAAAUCAGAGAAACAACAAAUACCGAAAUAAAAGUUUUUAAGUAUAAAUUUGGAUCUCACAGCUGUCUACUGGAUUAUUUAUUUAGCUACUAAUGAAAAUAUAUGAAAUAAAAGUAUAAAUAAAAUUUUAAAAAUAUGGAAAUAGGAUUGCGCAUGUAAGAGAGAAGUGAUAAACAAGUAUGAAUAAAAGAGGGGCAAAUUUUCCAAUAAUAAAGAAAAAAAAAUCAUCACCCUUUAAAAAAGAGUGGGCCAAUCUCACUUUUACCCUUUAAAAAAUAUAUACAAUAAUGUUGCAAUUGAUAAUUCUGCCCACCUUGUUCUUCUUUAUUCAUAACAUCAUGUGGUGCUAUUCAAGAAAAAUACAUUGAAAGCUGCAGAAAAUUUAUAAAGAAAGGCCGUCCGUUAAUAAAGUUUUUAAUAUAAAAUUAGUAACUUUUUAUUUAAUUAUUACUUAGUGGGUGGAUGGUGACAUCUUUAAAAUACAAUAUUGACUCUACGGGUAAUGUACGUAUGUAUUAACGCUUGUAUUUUCAUCUUGUUCAAAUCAUUUCACUCUUCCUCCUGCAAUAAUCAAACACUUUUUGCGUGCCAUCAAUGGCUGAAGCAUUGCUUUCGAUAUUGCUGGAGAGCUCAUUACUAAGUUGAUCUCUCGAGCUCCCUCUCAGAUUGGAGUAUGGUGGAAUUUCAAAGAUGACCUCGAUGACUUCAAACAUUGUUGCUGUCAUAUCUGAAUGGGCUGAUCUAUGAAAAUUAAAUUAACUCUAAUACUACUUAAUUGUUAGGAUCAAUCCAAUUAAGCAAUAAGUAAAUAAAAUAGCGGAAUAAAUUGAGAAAUUGAACACAUAAAUUUAACGUGGAAAAAUCCCUUUAAAGAGGAUAAAAACCACGAGCAAAUAUAAUUUUACUAUAAUGGCAAAAGAACGAAGAGCAUAAAAGAUGGAGAUAAAAACUAAACCCCGAAAACCCGAAAACAAAGAACCCUAAAAACAUAAACACAAAAUUCUCUAAAUGUGUUAUGAGUCUUAUUAUUAAUUAUUGGUAUCGUUGAUGUAGCUGAGCGUGUUAAUAUUUGUUGUUAGUGGUAGUAACAUUUUAAUUAUUUUAUUCUACAUUUAUUUGUUUAUUGAAGUGGGUUGAUGAUUUUUAAUUGUUUAUUUUUGGAAAUCUUGUUUCAUUCUUUUGUUCCAUGUCAUGUUGGAAAAAGAGUUCGAAUAAACAUGUUUGGAGUAUUAGGGUUGUAUAAAUCUAAAUUUUAAGAGAUUGUUGGUAAGUCAAGUAAAAAAAUAUUUUUUAGAAAAUUUAGUAUUUAUUAAUAUAAUAUAUAUGUUUAGCAUUUAUUAGCAUAAUAUAUUUGAGAUUGAUUAGAAUUAGAUUUUUUUUAACCUAUAAAUAGAUGUAGUUGAAACUCCUAUCGUAUCAUUUGAAUUCAAACAAUUAAUGCAAUAACCAUAUAAAAUGGCGUUGGUUUGGAUACCCCUUUGAUGUUUUGUCUUCGUUUUGGUGUUUGUUUUGGGGGUUGUGUCUCUUUGGGUUAAUUUUCAAUAUAUGUGUGCUGAUGAUGCAAUGAAUAAAGAAAUCAAAAGUUAUGCAGAAAUUUCAAUUCUGGAUGGUGCUGCAAUUAUAUUUUUAAGAGUAGUAGCAUUUUAUUUGUUAUUAACAUAUAUUUGUUUAUUGGAUACGUGUGUUGAUGAUGCAGUGAAUAAAGAAAUCAAAAGUUGUGCAGAAAUUUCAAUUUUGGAUGGCGCUGUAAUUAUAUUAUUAAGAGUAGUAGGAUUUUAUGUUUCUUUUAGAUGUACAUAUAUUUAUUAGGAAAGGGUUCAAGUUUUUUAUUUGUUUAUUAUUAGGGUUAAAUAUCAAAUUUAUACCCUAGUUUUGGUUCAAUUGUAUAAUUUGAUACAUGAAUUUUGAUUUGGUGCAAUUAUCUACAUGAAACUUGAAUUAUGGUUCAUAUAUAUAUAAAACUUUGAUUUUGAUAUAAUUGUACGCAUUAAAGAAAUGAAUACCUAUAUUUAUUUUCACAUUGGAUUAAUAUAAUUGUAGCGACCUAAAAUUUUUGCGAGUUAGUCGAGGUCGUUACGAAAGGAAAUCUUGGGUUGACGAUUAUUGAAAAUUCGGAAAAGGUCUCAAUUUUACUUAAAAAGAGAUGAGUCGCCACCGGUCCUUUUUCUAAGUGAGAUCAGACACCUACUAAAUUCUCUUUUUAAAAGAAAAUUUAUUUUUAAAAUUCUCUUUAAAAAAAGUCGAUUUUAGGUCUGCGUCAAAAUCCAAAGAAAAUUAGAGUUCGGGAGUCUGUUAUGCACAAAGAAUGUAUUAACACCCUCGUGGCGCCCAAAAUCGGUAUCCCAUUAAAUGCGUGUUGUCUUAAAUUUUAAAAAUACGAAUUCAAUUUAAUAUUUAAUCAUGAUUCGAUUGAAAAAUGAGAAUUUUGAUAAAUUACAUAUUAUUGUAUUGUAUAUAUUUUAGAAUGAAAUACUGAUAAUUUACGAAUAAAAAUAAAGAUUUUAUUUUUAAUGAGAGAAUUUUUUUAAUUUUUUAAUUUUUAGAAGGGCGUUCCGUAUUUAAAAAAAGUCAAUGAUAUCCACCCAACAUAGCAGUGAAAUAAAUGACUUAAUGCUAAAUCGGUUCGUUGCCUUAGGUAUUGAAAUUAUUUAAAUUAAAAAUUGUAAAUGAAAUAUUUCUAAAAGGCUGUUUAAAAAUGCUAAUUUAAUUAAAAUGAAACAAUAUUUAAAUACAUGGACUAAAUAAAUAAAGACAUGCACCUUUGUUGUGAGAUAUCUAGUGAGUUCAAAAAUUCUCUUCUGAAAAUGGUGGCUAUCAUGUAAUUAGUAGUAUAUUAUUUCAAUUUUGGUGAGAAUUGUAUUCUCACUUAAACGCUUAAUGCCAUUUGCUAAAUUUUUUGUGUGGGUGAUCUUUUGAUCUGUUCAUAAACCGAACUUUUCAUGGUGGCUAAGUUUCUUAGGGGAUAAAUUAUUAGUAGCAUUAUUUGUUUCUGCAGUGAAAUUGUGAUGCCUGUAUUUUAAAAUGUGAGGUAUUAUCGUAUUUGAUGAUAUAGUGGAGUUUUGGUAGAUUAAACGGAUCGUUUGCUGAGCUAAGUUGAAAUUGAAUGAAUGCUGGCCUCAUCCAAUGUCCAAAACUUGAUGACUUCAACAUUUUGAUGCCUUAAUUUGAGAAGACUGAGUUAGAGUACUAUAAAACUUUCUCAGAAUGCUGAUGAGGCAAAGAUCUAGUGAUCUAAUAUAAUUGCAAUUCAUAGUAUGGUAGUUUCAAUGCUUUCGUAAGAGAGGAAGAUUAUGUCAUGCUACUCCAUUCUCGGUUUAAAUCAGUGCUCUAUAUGAAGAAAGGUUGAUGGGUGUUAGUUCUUUUGAUGUCUUGUCUUUGAUGGAUGUUUGAAAAAUGAUUCAGUUGAUAUUCAUAAUGUCUAUCACUACAGUUUCCCCCUUAUGUAUAAUAUGUCUGCUAGUUUGUCGGUCUUCGUAUAUUACAUUCCUUUUUCUUAUUGUUUUCAACACGAUAACAAGUGAGUUAGUAGCUAUUUUACUUGAUUUUGUCAUGGCAUUUCAAAGAUGACCUCAAGGACCUCAAAAGCACCAUCUCCACAAUCAAAGCUGUGCUUCUUGAUGCCGAAGAACAAUCCAUGACCAGCAGUCUCAUCAAAGAUUGGCUUGAAAAGUUGAAAGAUGCAUUUUAUGAUGCCGAUAAUUUUUCUACUGAUGCUUUGCGGAAAGAUCUACUGAGCAGGAACAAGCUAAUGAAAGAAGUAUGCCUUUUCUUUUCAAGCUCAAACCUAUUUGUUUAUGGUGCCAAAAUGGGUCAUCAAAUUAAGGCCAGGAUGUUCAACUUGGUAGAGUGUGACCGUCCCAUUAAAACCUCUUUCAUAACUAAGAAGAGACAGCGAACACACUCUUUUGUGAGUAAAGAUGAAAUAAUAGGGAGGGAAGAUGAUAAAGCAGCUUUUCUAGAACACAUAUUAGAGUUCCAAAGUGAAGAGAAUGUUUAUGUGGUUCCGAUUGUGGAGUUUGGAGGGUUAGGGAUGACUACAUUAGCACAGUUUGUCAAUGAAGUGGUCAAUGAUCAUUUUGAGUUGAGGAUAUGUAAAGAUUCCAAACUGGUCAUCUCGGAAGCGAUCUUAAAUUGGGCAAAUCAGAGAGAUAAAGAAAUUGCAACCCAAUCCGGAAGAUACCGACACUUUGGAAUUUUUGCCAGCGAUAGAGAGCGUAGGUUACAAUGCCAUGGACAGAUCACAGCUCCACUUUCUGUAUAGUUUCAAAAAUUACUCGGGGCAGAAGGCAAUGGGAGCCACAGCUCUCCUUACCCCUCCCCCCUUCCAAAUUUGGAAAAUUCUCAUUAAGCCUUCAAUUUUUUUGAAAAUUUUAAUUGAACUCCUCAAUUUUUUUAAAAAUUUUUCCUAAGCCUUUAAUAGUUUUAUAAGUUUUAAUUAGACCCUUUUUUUUGAAAUUCUCAUUAGGUUCUUUAAAAUUUUUGAAAAAUUUAAUUCCACAUUUCGCUACCUUUCUUCUCUGAUAGUUUUAGUUUAUUUGAAUGCUUGGAAUUAGGCUUUCACAUUGUUACAUUGUUGAAAAUUACUUGUAUUUUGAUAAGGAAAACAAUGGGAAAAAUAACAAUUAGAUACUUGGAAUAUUGGCUUGUGCCAUGAUACGCCUUUAUAAGGUGUUAUUCAACUUGUAAUUUGAUGUGUGCCAACAUAAGCAUCAACACACAAGUCAUGUAUAUACAGCCAGGACAUCGACAUCUUUUGGAAGAGUCCUAAUCCAAGCAUCAUAAUUGAACAUAGCCUUGGAAUACCGUCUAAAAACAAUUAUUGUCUCAUAAUCAAUUGUGCAUCCCUGCAUUUGAAUACUGUUUGGAACCCUAAAAAAACAUAAAUGUGUUUUUUCCUGAGUUGGUACAUAUUAUGCAACAAGGAAAAUAAAGAACACAAUCAAUAUAUUUACGCAGUUCGAAACUCGUCCUACGUUUGUGGGGCUUUGCCCCAAGAUGAAUACACUAUGAACUUCAUAGUACAAAGAAAUGAUUUAAGCUCAACCCCUCAAACAUUUGAUGCAAUCUCACUUUUGUACAGUUUAAGUAAAUUCUCUCCCAACUCAUUUUAGCUAUGCAAGUGAAAAUUCACAUUCAACACUCAAAUGGUUUUCCUACUAUGAAUCAAGCUCUUAAUAAGCUCCAUGUAAAGUGGAAUAAUAAAUUUUCAAAUGCAAUAUGUCUGGCAAUUGUCAUGCUUGAACAACGACUCUUCCAAAACCAUCAAUGAACCUGAAAAUUACAAAUGCCAACAUAGAAUAUGUUACAAAUCCCAUUAGUAUCAGCCUUAUAUUUGCACAUAUGUGUGUUUAGUAUAACGCUGUUGAUAUAUAAAUAAUGAAACAUUUUAUCAACUUCAACCUCACCACCAAAUAUUCCGAAGCAUCUUCCUUUUUUUCCUGUUUGGACCUUCAGUAACAAAUUUGGCUGGAAUUCUAAACAGCUAAAAGAGUUCCCUGCAUCAAUGAAUAUUAUGAAUUUGAAUACCUCCAAAAGCCUGUCAAUAUCACAGGUACCAUCUAAGAUAGUAAUCAGUUGGCAUAUAUUAAGAGAAAACAUAAAUAUAUAUAACGAUAUCAUCGGUAAGUGCUUAAAUGAAGAAAGCAGAGCAUAUAGUACAACCAUUUUGAAUGCUUCAUAGGCCUCUCUCUCCACAUCAAUUGUUUUUUAGAAUUAAAUUAUUAGAAGCAAUUGUCAAGUUAUAAUUAUGAUUUAAAAGUAAAAAGGAAAUAGAUAAAUUAGCACCUCUUUUUAUGCAUAUAAAAUGAUUGAAGUUGACUAAUGCCUUUCUGCAAUGCCUUACUGCACAAAUCAGCAAAAAUAUUAUGAAAGAUGAUAAGUAAAAAGUAGGAUUAAAACAAAGGCAUUUUAACAAGGAAAUUAAUAGUAUCCAACUUCAAUGAAAAAUGGCAUCAGACCCCUGACUUGGAGAUUCAAUAUACCACUCCUAUUUUUCUUCAAAAAAAGAUGAGGUCAUCAAAAUAAAUAAAUAACAAAGACAGACCAACCUGAUCCAACCGAAUGUUGGGGAUGUGAGCAAUCUUUUGCCAAUCAGCGCCAAUGUCCUUCCGACAUCUUUCCUCCAACAGAGGAAUUUCUUGUAUUUGUAAAUACUCCAAACAGGUUAGGCAACACAUCUCGUCCGGAAGAGAUGUUAAAUUGGGCAAAUUAACGAGAUAAAGCUGUUCCAGAUUUGUUAGAUGUUGAAGCCGCUCCGGAAGAUGCCGACACUUUGGAAUAUUUUCCAGCCAUAGAAGGCGUAGGCUUGUAUGAUCUUGGAAUAUUUGGAUGCCAGCUCCAGAUAACUCCAGCUCCUUGCAGUCCUUUACUUCAAACAGUUCAAGGAAAGUGAGGUGUUGGAACACAGGAAGCAGUGACCUCAAUCCAUUGCAGUUAUGAAUUCUUAAUGUUUUCAAUUGAACAAGAUGUUGAAGCCAAAUGGGGAGAGACACCAGCUUUGGAAAAUUAUCAAUCUCCAAACAAGAGAGAUUCUUCAGGGGUUCCCAUUGCAUGCCAUCUAAAUCAACCUCCUUGCAAUCUCCUAUUGUUAAUCGUUUGAGGUUGGUGAGAUGUUGCAGGCACUCAUCUAGCGUGUGAGUGUCCAACCCCUCAAUGUUGUAUACAUCGAAAGAUUUCAAUUUGGAGAGUGGAAGAGAAGAGGUUGAAGUUGAUGGGGCCUUAGCAUUGAUGUUCAUCUUGAUAGUCUGCUUUAACGGCCUUGAACUGGUAUUCGACAACAUUAGAUAUUCAUCGAGUGAUGGAUACAGUGGCAUUAAAUUCAAAGGGCAAUUUCUAAUGUUUAAAGAGGAAAGACAAGGAAAUGCCAUGGUUGAUGUUCCCAUAACUGUUGUGUCGUCCUCGUUGGAAUCAUCAUCGAUUGGUUUUAUCGUCCUCCACCAACUCUUCAUAUUUGGGCAAUCCCGUAGGCAAAGAUACUUAAGCGAUGGGAAGAAUGAUUGUUGUUCUCCUUGACUUCCUUUUGGGCUAUUAUCAUCCAUGUACUCCAGCUCAGUUAAAUCACAAAUUACCAAAUCUUGAAGACAAGGAAAUUGAGCAAAGGAUGGGAGGUGUUUGAAUUUACUACGAAGACCCAUUAUAUUAAUAUGGACGAGAUUUGUGAGCAAAGGAAGCCAACUUGGAAACUUGGCAUCACCCCUCCAUCCUGAAAUACGUAGCUCCUUGAGAUUAGGAUGGGGCUGGAGGUCUUCAAGUGACUCCUCAUCAUCAUGGUUGCCACCGCCCCAUUCUAAAGCCAACGAUCUCAAAUGUUGCUUCUCUUUCAAAUUAGCAGCCUUAAACUUCUCUUUUGCAUUUUUUACGAAUCCCAAAUUUGUUAUUCUUAACUCUCCCCUUAAGUUGUUAAGCAGUCUCAGUUCACUUAGAUCUGCACCGCCAUGGGACCCAUCUUUAUCCACUACAAACAUGCUUAACGUCUCAAGUGAAGUCAGCUUCCCUAUUCCACGUGGCAUAUGAGUUAAACUAAAACAAUCUUCACACCCAAGAUGGGUAAGAUUCACCAAUUUUUCAAUGUUCUUUGGCAAUUCUUUAAGCCCAGUACACCCAUCAAGUUUCAGCGCUAGCAAAUUCUGAAUCUUGCAAAUACUCUUUGGGAGAAUCUUAAGUCCGGGAUUAUAAGAAAGAUCCAGGUACCUCAAAUGUUUCAACUUACAAAUGGAGGGUGAAAUCUUUUGAAUACCUAUAGAAUUCAAUUUCAAUACACGCAAGCAUCUACAAUUUGCAAUUAUCAAAUCCCAAGUUUCAUAGCUGAAAUCUUGAAUUUUUCUGUCUUGAAAAUGUAACAAGCUUCGCAACUUCUUUCCCUUAAACAAAGGAAUUAAUGAAGGAAUUAAUAAAGGAUUAAUUGAUAUGUGGCGACAUUUUUCACCAACAUCACUUGCAAUUUUAUUUGAAUCUACAAUACUACUCUCCAUCCCUGCUACUGAUUCAGCUAGAUCAUGCAUUAAAUCAUGCAUUUUACAUGUUAGCCCUUCCCAUGAAUAUCUUUCUCCUACUUCUUGGAAGAAACUUCUUUCAACUAAAUCUUUAAAAUACCCAAACCCGAUCUCCUCUAGAGAUUGACUUUGAUUCAAUUGCUUUAUGAAACCCUGUGCAAUCCAAAAUUGAACAAGCGCUUGUACUUCAAUUCUGUAAUCUUUUGGGUACAAUCGGCAAUAUGCAAAGCAAUGCUUCAAAUGAGACGGGAGAUGAUCAUAACUCAAUUUCAGUAUAGGUAGAAGUUCUCCUUCAAUUUGUGAUAUUUUAGCAAGUUCAUUUUCUUUGAAAGAAUGCCACUCAUUUGCAGUUUUCUUCAAAGAUAAUGUACCAGCUAUCGUCCUUAUGGCUAAGGGAACCCCACCACACCUUUCCGAAAUCUGUUUCCCUACUUCCACAAAGGCUGAAUUUGUUGAGUCUGCAUAUCCUUGCUCAAAUGCUAUCUUUUUGAACAAAGACCAAGCAUCAUCAUCAGACAAGCCUUUCAAUUUCAAAACAUGGGAUUGACAUUUAUUAGUUAUCUCCGCUACCCUUAGAGAUCGAGUCGUUACUAUUAUCCUACUCCCUUUAGCCCCACCCAUCAAUAACUUCUUUAGCCUAGACCACCUUUCUGGUUCCUCAUUCCAAAUGUCAUCCAAAACAAGCAAAUAUUUUUUCCCAUCAAUUUUAUCUCGAAGUUGUUUUUGCAAUUGAUCCAUUUCAAGAUUUUGAUCAGGUGUUUGAUGAGUCACAGAUUUGAUAAUGUUUGCUACAAUAACUUUCAUAUCAAAAUCAUCUGAAACACACGCAAACAUCGUUAAGUCAAAAUGGUUUUUGACCAUUUCAUGGUUAUAGACAAGUUGGGCCAAAGCAGUCUUCCCUAACCCUCCAAACCCCACAAUUGGAAUGAUAUAAACAUUCUCUUCACUUUGAAACUCCAACACGAAUUUUAGAAGAGCUGCUUUAUCAUCAUCCCUCCCUAUUAUGUCAUCUUCACGCUCAAAAGAGUGCGUUUGCUGCCUCCUUUUAGUCAUGAAAGAAGUUUCCGCGGGGCAAUCACGCGGAAUGAAGCCAAAAAUGUUGGCCUCCCUUUCAAUUGAAGCUAAUCUCGCCUUAAUGGCCUUCAUUUUCCGACCCAUUUUGAGACCAUAAGCAAAUUGGUUUGAGGUUGAGAAGAAAAGGCGUACCUCUUUCGUCAGCUUGUUCCCACCCGAUACAUCUUUCCGCAAAGCUUCAGUAGAGAAAUCAUCGAGCAAGUCGUCGGCAUCAUAAAGUACAUCUUUCAGAUCUUCAAGCCAAACUUUGACGAGAUUAUCGGUCACCGAUUUCUCUUCUGCGUCAAGAAGCACAGCUUUGAUUUGACAGCCAGUGCGUCUGAGGUCGUGGAUGUCAUGUUUUAGAUUCCACCACAGCCCAACUUGAGAGAGAGCACGAGAGCUCAACUUAAUAAUGAGCUCUGCGGCAAUGUCGGAAGCAAUUGCUUCGGCCAUUGUUGGUUCAAACUGAAAUCAAGGCAAAAAGUGUUUGAUUUGUGAAAGAGGAGGACUAAAAUGAGAUUGAUUCCAACAAGAUGAAACACAGAUGUGGAUCCAUCCACCCAGCAAGUUAAAGUUAUGUUGAUUAGUGGGAAAUGGUCCCUCCAUGUUUAUUGUUUGACACAAAUUUCUGAAUGGAGACAAAGUUGGGAUGAUGACACUUUGGGUGCUGUGCACAAUGUGGAGCCGUACAAAUAAUUGAAAUUAAUGAAAAAGGUAUGAAAGAAAAGAGAAAAAGGAGACAAAUCCCAUGGAAUCCAAGGUGUUUUGAUUGAAGGCCCAUGCAUUCCAGUCUUUCUAAACCUUCUUCCCACCUACUUGUGUAAUUCAAGUUUUGAUUUUUUAUUCUCAUUUUAUCGGUAUAUUUACAUUUGAAUUCAAAUACAUAUCCUAUAAUUAACUUUAAUCUCGCUAUUACAAUACUUAACCUCACUAAAUUACUUGUUUAACAUGAUUAUGGUGAAUUUAUAGAAAGAAAAAUCACAAAGCAAAUGCAGAUGCACUUAUGUUAAAAGUGUUAUUAAUAGAAAUUUUAUUAUUUUGAAAAAUAAAAGUAUAAUAACUUUUUUAGCAUUCUAACUUUAUAAAAGAAUUAUUUUAGCUAUCUAUUUAUUUUCAUUCUCUCUUAGUCUUUGAACUUAUAUUUUUUUGUUAAACCAUCCAAAAUGGGUAAAAAAGUUAACGUUUGUUAACUUUUUUGAGAUGACAUAUAGGUAGAUUACCACAUGUAUGUUACGUUAGCAAUUAAUUAUUUUAAAAAAAUAUUAAAAAAUAUUUUCUUAUAAUUUUUUAAAAUUUUAAAAUAUUUUUUUGAAUUUUUUAAAAUUUUAAAAAUAAUUAAUUGCUUAUGUGGCAUGUACGUGGCAAUCCGCGUGUAUGUCACGUCAACAAAAUCAGCAGACGUUAAUUUUUCACUCAUUUUGUGGUGAUUUAAUAAAAAUUACAAGUUGAACUAAAAGAAACGAAAAAUUAAAUGAAAAGUUGAAAUAACUUUUUCUGUAAAGUUGGAGACCAAAAGAAUCAUUAUGGAAAGAAAUAGUUGUUUUUCUUCUCUCUCUUUUUUUUUGGUAUAUUUUAGCGCUAAAAUCACAAUUAUCGGAAACCAAACCAAAUUCUAUUCUUUAUUUAAUUUAUAAAUAUUUUUAUAAUAUAAAAAUAAAUCUUUUAUUUUUAAAAAUAGUGAAAAUAAAUAAAUAAAUUUUAAAAAUAUUAUAUAAAAGUAUUUGAUUAUUUUUAUUUACUUAAAAAAUUUUAAAUAAUAUCUAUGAAAAAACUUUGAAAAUUUGUCAAAUGAUAUUUAAAAACCGUAAAAUAAAGUUUAUUUUAUUAAAAUAAUUAUAAAAAUUUAUAAUAAAAAAUCAAACUAAACUAAAUUAUAAUGGAUGGAUAAAAAAAUACAAUUGAAUUAAACUAAUAUCACUUUAUUUUAUUGCACCAAACUGGACAUAAAAGAUUUUCUUAAAAAAUUUAGCCGUGAGACUGUUUUUCUCACUAUAACCUUCUAGAGCGUGCAAUGUCCUCCCCAAGUAAGUAAAUUCAAUAGAGGUUGGAGGCUAAAGGUUGAUACAUAAAAGAAGGGGAGGGGCAUAGUUCUGCUUGAAACAAACCCCCAAAUUUAGCAUCUUGAGUUGUUAAAAUAAGUAAAUCCACCGUACUUUUUUGUUAGAUUUUGGCUCUCUUCUUCAGCAGAAUGUAGCGUACAGUACAAGAAGCAGGGACCAUCCUUUCUACCAUGAUUUGUUUAUCCGCCCACAUAUUCCAACAAAACGAAUAUGGUAAUAAAUGUCUUCAAUUUCCUUCUAAUUUCCAAUUGAUCUGAUAUAAAUGGUGUAAUUCAAGAGUACUUGUAUAAUAUAUAUGCCCAACUGAGUACUAGCUUAGAUGGAAUCUAUGCUGUUGACGGACUCUUGGAGGCAUGUUCGAGAGAGCUUAAACACAUUUGUAUUUUUCAGUGUUCCAUAGAAUAUUCUAAUGAGCUGUGUCAAGUUCAUUAAAAAUGAUGUAAAAAGUAGUAUAAAAAUAAGCAAAAAGGAAAUUAAAUUAAAUAAACUAAUAUGAUGGAUUUCAAGCUUUAAGCUCAAUUUUGUUCUAGUUUCGAACCAAUGCACGAUAACAAGUCUUCUCCUUCAACCAAUAAGUUAGUUAUAGUGAUCAAGGAUGCCUCAGACCACCAACCCUUCUAUAUGUAAUUAAUUACGAGAACGCCCAAUAGUUAAUCUUUAUCGAACGAACAACCACAAAACACGCAUCCACGAUUUAGCUCUCCGGUAGCCUUGUGAGCUAAAAGGGUCCAUCUCAAACCAACAGCGUCAAUUACGCGAGCCGUUUAGAUCCGAUUGCUAACUUCUUAGUUGGACACGCCAAUGUGUUCUUCGUAAGAUCAAAUACAACAAAUGAUCAAUCCGGUACUUCCAAUUGUACGUCUAUCAAAACCGAAUUAAUGAGCUCUUUUUAACAUGGUGUCAGCACAAUUUUGUGAGCUGCCAGCAUCUAUCUCCUAAAUCAGAGAAACAACAAAUACCGAAAUAAAAUUUUUUAUGUAUAAAUUUAGAUCUCACAGCUCUCUGCCGGAUUAUUUAUUUAGCUACUAAUGAAAAUAUAUGAAAUAAAAUAUAAAUAAAAUUUUAAAAAUAUGGAAAUAGGAUUGCGCAUGGAACAGAGAAGUAAUAAACAAGUAUGAAUAAAAGAGUGGGGCAAAUUUUCCAAUAAUAAAGAAAUAAAAAUCAUCACCCUUUAAAAAAGAGUGGGCCAAUCUCACUUUUACCCUUUAUAAAAUAUAUACCGUAAUGUUGCAAUUGAUAAUUCUGCCCAACUUCUUGUUCUUUAUUCAUAGCAUCAUGUGGUGCUAUUCAAGAAAAAUACAUUGAAAGCUGCAGAAAAUUUAUAAAGAAAGGCCGUCCGUUAACUAAGUUUUUAAUAUAAAAUUAGCAACUUUUUAUUUAAUUAUUACUUGGUGGGUGGUGACAUCUUUAAAAUACAAUAUUGACUCUACGGGUGUAUGUAUGUAUUAACGCUUUUAUUUUCAUCUUGUUCGAAUCAUUUCACUCUUCCUCCUGCAAUAAUCAAACACUUUUUGCGUGCCAUCAAUGGCUGAAGCAAUUGCUUUGGAUAUUGCUGGAGAGCUCAUUACUAAGUUGAUCUCUCGAGCUCCCUCUCAGAUUGGAGUAUGGUGGAAUUUCAAAGAUGAACUCGAUGACUUCAAACAUUGUUGUUGCUAUCUCUGAAUGGGUUGAUCUAUGAAAAUUAAACUAGCCUUGAUAUCACCUAUUGGGAUCAACCCGGUUAAGUAGCAAGUAAAAAAAUAGCGAAAUAAAUUGAGAAAUUGAACACACAAAUUUAACAUAGAAAAACUCCCUCCAAAGAGGAUAAAAAGCCACGGGCAAAUAUAAUGGUAAAAGAACGAAGAGUACAAAAGAUUGAGAUAAAAACUAAAACCCGAAAAUAAAGAACCCUCAAAACGUAAACACAAAAUUCUCUAAAUGUAUUAUGAGUUCUAAUCUCUAAUGGGUAUAUUUUCCAAUAACGUUGUAAAAGAGCCUAUUUAUAGGCUAAAUUUAUAGGUCAAAUAAUAAUAAAAUAAUCUAGACUAAUCAGAGUUUGAUUGAAACAAAUAAACAGAGUUUAAUUGAAAGAUUAUUUCUCAAAUUUAACUGAAAUAGGAGUCAUACUCAACACGGACAAAUCCACCAUGAUCUCUCAUUUACUCUUAAUAUAUAUAGUUAAAAAAAAGAAGAAGACUAUUACUAUUUUAUACUGUACUCUUAUUAUUAAUUAUUGGUAUCGUUGAUGUAGCUGAGCGUGUUAAUUUUUGUUGUUAGUGGUAGUAACAUUUUAAUUAUUUUAUUAUACAUUUAUUUGUUUAUUGUAAGUGGGUUGAUGAUUUUUAUUUGUUUAUUUUUGGAAAUUUUGUCUCAUUCUUUUGUUCCAUGUCAUGUUGGAAAAAGAGUUUGAAUAAACAGGUUAAUUUGGAGUAUUUAAAAAUGGCACGUGUUAGGGUUAUAUGAUCUAAAUUUUAAGAUAUUGUUUGCAAGUUAAAUAAAAAAAUAUUUUUUUAGAAAAUUUAGUAUUUAUUAAUAUAAUAUGUUUAACAUUUAUUAGCAUAAUAUAUUUGACAUUGAUUAGAAUUAGGUUUUUUUAACCUAUAAAUAAAUGUAGUUGAAACUCUUAUUGUAUCAUUUGAAUUCAACAUUAGUGAAUUUUUUCUUCUCCUCUGCCUUUUAUUUUUUCCGAAAAAUUUUUACGUGAGAUCUGUGUGUUCUAUUUUUCUUUGUUUUUCUUUGCGAUCUUUCUACAUUACCAUUAUCGAUGUUUAGUUUUUUACUGCACAUAUGUGUUGUUGAUUGAGAUGAUGAGAUUGAGUACAUGUCACAUAUCGGCUUUGUCUCCACAAUCAGAUGAUGAGAUUGAGUACAUGUCACAUGUUCCAUACUCUAGUGCAGUGGGAUCUCUCAUGUAUGCCAUGGUUUGUUCACGUCCAGAUUUAUCAUAUGCAGUUAGUGCAGUUAGCAGAUACACGGCGAAUCCCGAUAAAGAACAUUGGAAAGCAGUUCAGUGGGUUUUAAGAUACUUACGAGGUACUACCGAUGUUUGCUUACAGUUUGGAAAAACUAGAGAUGGAGUCAUUAGGUAUGUUGAUGUUGAUUUUGCUGGAGACCUCGAUAGAAGAAGAUCUCUCACAGGUUAUAUCUAUACAAUCGGAGGUUGUGCAAUCAGUUGGAAAGCCACUUUGCAAACUACAGUCGCUUUGUCUACCACUGAAGCUGAGUACAUGGCGAUUACUAAGGCUUGUAAAGAAGCCAUUUGGUUGAAGGGACUCUUUAGUGAACUCAAUGAAGACCUUCAAAUCAAUACAGUAUUUUGUGACAGUCAGAGUGUCAUCUUCACUACACCAAAACAGGCUUUUAGCGGGGUUUAUAGCGGCGUUUAACCCAAAAACGCCGCAAAAGAUAAACUUUUAGCAGCGCAAAAAAACAAACGCCACAAUAGACCUGCAUUAGCGGCGCUCGAAAAACAAACGCCGCAAUAGGCCUGCCUUAGCGGCGAUUUCUUUGAAACGCCACAAAAUUUUUUUGCCAAACGGCUUCGUUUUUUUGUUAUUUUAUUACUUUAGUGGCGCUUAUUAAAAACACACCGCAAAAUAUUGGGAUAUAGCGGCGUUUUGAGAGAAACGCCGGUAGAGAUAAGUAAUUUGAGGAAAAAAUUUCAGCAAAACUGUACCGUUUUAAUUUUUCCUAUUAUUGCUUUAGAGGCACUCAGUAAAAAACGCCACAAAAGAUACAGAUUUCACGGCUGUUGUUAACGAAUUCCGCUAUAAGUAACUAAUUUGCGGCGUUUCCUUUAUAAACGCCAGAAAAAAAAAUAAGCAAAACGGCUUCGUUUUAUUUCAUUAUAUUGCUUUAGUAGCGUUUUAACUCAAAACGCCACAAUAGGUAGGCUUUAGUGGCGUUUCUUUUAAAAACGUCGCAAAUAAAUUUGCAAAACGACUUCGUUCUGCUUUCACUAUAUUCCUUUACUGGCGUUUUCCGGUAAAACGCCGCAAAUAUGUCUGCAAUACGACGAUAAAACGACGCCGCUUAUGAUUGGAUCUAGUGGUAUUAGCGGUAUUUUCCGAAAAAUGCCGCAAAAAAGAAAUAAUAGAUUACGAUUUACGGAUUAAUAUUUAUAAAUAAUUGUAUAUGGUUUGGGGUUUUAGGGUUCGUUACACAAUGUUUAUUAUUUUAGGAUUACAGUUUUGACGAUAUGGGUUUAGAGUUUAGGUUUACAGCUCAGGGAUUAGUGUUCAAGGUUUAGAGUUUACAUUUCAGUGUUAAUAUCAUGUUAGGGAAUUUACGGCUUAUAAGAUAAUGAAAUUUAAUGUUUUAGGGCUUCAUGUUUAUGGUUUAUGAUUUAGCGUUAAUUAUUUAUGCGUUACGAUGUUGAUUCUUGCGUUUCAGAUUUAGGGUUUGUACGAUUUAUAGUUUAGGGUUUAAUGUUGUGGCGGUUUUAGGGUUUUUUACUAUUUUGAUACAAAAGUCAAAAAAAAUUCGAAUACCAUGUUUUUUACUUCUUAUUAUGUCAUUAUUAGGUUCAGAACUGACAUGGCAAGAUAUCAUAUAUAUAUGUUAUGUAUGAUGAAACAGUUUAAUAUUGUGUACGAGGUAGCGUACGUUAUCAAGAUUUGCAUAACUUAGAGCAUAAAAUUAAAAUUGUAAGACAUUAUUGGAAUAGUGUCAAUAAUUUAUAAAUUGGAAUGUUGAUAGUGUUUAAAUAAUACAUAUAUACUUACAUAUAUAAAAUGGAAAUUUUUUUUAAAGAUUUGUACAAAAAAAAAGAAUAUGUUAAAUCUGUGUCAUAAUUUUAAACUAUUUUAAUUGAAAUGACAUUAAUAAUUUCAUAUUAAUGCAUCAAUUUAAAAUAAUGUCAUAACAUUUAUCCAAUUUUAAAAUCCAUUAAAAAAAGAAAUAGUUAUAAAUAUAGACAUAUAAAAUAUUAUUACAAUUGAAUAAUUAGUGGCGUUCUUUUAAAAAUGCCGCAAACAAAUUUGCAAAACGGCUUCGUUCUGCUUUCACUAUAUUCCUUUACUGGCGUUUUCCGAUAAAACGCCGCAAACUUAUUUAUCAAUUUUAAUAUUGAUAGUAUUUAAAUUGAGAGUAUUUAUAAAUUUGAAUAUUUAUUAAAUAUGUAUAAUUGAAAAAAAAUGUAUUAAAUCUGUGCCAUAUUUUAAAAUAAUAGUAUUGAAAAAAAUUAAUAAUUUCAUAUUAAUGUUUCAAUUUAAAAGAAUGUCCAAACAUUUAUCUAAUUUAAAAAUCAAUUAAAAUUCAAAAUGCUUAAAAAUAAGGUGAAUAUUUAGUGGCGUUUGUAACUAAAAUGCCGCAAACGCUAAUUAAAUAUUGAACUACACGUGGCCUUUUGACUGACGCGUUUAGGGUUUAGUGGCAUUUUCUCUCAACGCGCCGCAAAACCCGUAAGAUUAGUGGCGUUUUCUUUUAAGCGCCACAAAAAGUUUAAUUAAAACGGUGUCGUUUCGAGGGGAUAUCAGAUUUGGGGUAUAUCCCCGCAGCCAGCCGCAAAUCCCCCUUUUCAGCCAAAUCCCUAAGUGUUUCUGCACAGCAUCUCCGAUUUCCCCUCAUCCUUUCUUCAUCUCUUUCACACUUCUGUUUGGGUGUUUCGCUUCCUAGCAAAAAAAAACCAUUAAAAAGGGUCAUUACAUUGUAUUUGUUGAAGAUAAUAUCACGAGGGAACAAAACAUAUUGAUGUACGGUAUCAUUUUGUUCGUGAUACUAUUGCUCGUGGUGAUAUUGUUGUGAUCAAAAUUAGUACUCAUGAAAAUCCUGUAGAUAUGAUGACUAAGUCACUUCCUAUAACCAAGUUUGAGCAUUGCUUAGACUUGGUUGGUGUUCAUUGUUGAAGAUAAACCCUUAAGGAGUUUUAUGGAAGAGGUGGAGAAACUUGUUCGCUGAGAGUUCGCGAUGAAAAACUUGUUCAUUAAGAAUUCGUGUCAAGGUGGAGAUUGUUAGAAUUAAGUGACCCGAAUCCUUAUUUAAAUAAAAUACAAUGGUAAAAUAAAAUAAAAGUAAAAUCCCUAUAGAAUUAUACUUCUUUUAUUUUAUUUUAGAAUAAGGUUUUUUAAAUCUUAUUAAACUCCAUCUAUUUGAUAUUAAUUAGAAUAAGAAGUUUCACUCCUAUUAGAAUAAGGUUUACAAGCCUGUAAAUAGGCAUAGUCUACUCCUCUUGUAAUUAAAAUUUGAAUUCGACAUAGUGAAUUUUCUUCUCAUCUGCCCGUGGUUUUUUCCCGAAAGGGUUUCCACGUAAAAUCUGUGUGUUCUUUAUUUUUUCUAUUUCUAUUUUUCUUUGCGAUAUAUUGUCAUUACCGAUAUUAUAUUUUUCACAGAAUCAAAUAUUAUUAAAUUCAAAUUCGAUAAAUAAUAAUUUAAACAUAAAUUAAUGAUUAUUAAAUCAAAUUUAAAUCUUUUUCGAAUUCAAUUCAAUUAACUUACGAAUGAUUAUCAUCUCUCUCUUUCUCACCUACGUGCUUAGCUUUGAUUUUGUCUUUUAAAGUAGCUUGGUGUCUACAAUUAUAUAUUACGACAAUGGUUACUGUCCAUUACUACUUUAGUACACUCUUAUUAUUAAUUUUUUAUAGUAAUGGGUAUGUUAAUUAUACUUGCUAUUAAUUUUUUAUAUAAUAUUAAGAGUAGGGAUGGAGGUAAUAUUGUUUGAAUCCGUGUCAAAUAGGUAUUGACAAGAGUUUUAACUACUUUUCUUGCAAGGCAAGAUAUAUUUGUUAUUGACAAUAGUAGUAGCAUUUUAUUUUCUUUUAAAUAUACAUAUAUUUAUUAAGAAAGGAUUAAAGCAUUUGAUUUGUUUAUUAUUAGGGAAAAAAAUUAAAUUUAUACAUGACUUUUAGUUCAAUAAGUAAUUUGAUAUAUGAAUUUUGAUGUGGAAUAAUUUCCACAUGAAACUUGUAUUGUGGGUCAUAUAUAUAUACAUGAAAUUUUAAUUCUGAUUCAACUGUGCACAUGUAAAAAAAUGCAUACAUAUAUAUAUAUUUACAUUAGAUUAAUAUAAUUGUUUGUCUACACAAUAUACCAAAGUAAAUUGUAAGAGGUUGAUUUGGCAUAUCCCAAAACAUUUUGUUAUAGCUUGGAUGGUCAUUCUUGACAAGUUGCCUAUCACCGGUGAAGCCUAGUAGAGACUCCUAAAAUGGUAAAUUUUUAUUUUAGACUUUUUAUAAUUUAUAAAAUUUUAAAUUAAUAAUUAUAAAAUUAUAAUUUGAUCCUCUAAAAAAUUAUAAAAAUUUAAUUUAACUCUUUAAAGUUUAUAAAGAUAUACUACUAUAAAAAUAUACAAUUUAAUUUGGAUUAAAAUCUUUUUUAGCUCGGCUGCUAUUGCCUACAAAAGAAAAAUUAAUUUCGUUUUGGACACAACAUGCGGAGAGAUAUUUGGGUUUAUGUAAGCUCCAUGGUAAUGCAUUUUAUUGGAAUUGAAGGAAAAAUCAUUACUGAUACCAUCAUGAAGAUUGCUUCCAUUGCUCAUGUCUAUUUAAUUAUUUUAAUACACAUAAAUUUGUUUUUUGUGAGUUGGGUGAUUUCGGUUUGUUUAUUUAAGAUAUUUUAUUUUUAAAUAUAUUCUUAAUUAUUUAUUUUACAUAUUUUAACUUAAUAUAUUUAAUAGUACUUUUUUUAAUAAAAAAAAACUCAAAUGUCACUACAUCAUUUUAAGUUGCAUCAUAAAUUAUAAUGUUAUGGAUAUCGCUAAGAUAAUCCAUCUUAAAAGAUAAAUUACAACACUUAGAAAGGCCCAAUUAUAAAGAGAAUCGGCUGAUUUGUUACAACCACGUUUCACCCAUUUGACCUGUAACACCCCUAACCCGUAUCCAUCGCCAGAAUAGGGUUAUAGAGUAUUACCGGAGUUUACAAAUUAAUUUACAGACAAUUCAUUUCAUCAAGCGUUCAUAUUUAUAACCAAUCAAAAUCAAAACAUAAUGAAUUAACGUUGACCAAUUUAACUUAUACAUGUCAUUAUAACCAGAAUCAAAUCAUUCAAAAUUACCGAUAGAACCAAUGGAUAGUGUGAUAUAUCUCCGAUAAGUUUCCAACCCAAUCGAGCUUCCGAUAAUCAUUUCAAUGCAUCUAAUAAUUAUACAUAUUACCAAUAAUAAUUCAAUUCCAAUAAUAAAACACAUAUUUAUAUAAUAUUCAUCACCAAAUAACGUUCACUUUAAUUAAAAUUAUACUGAAUAUAGUUCAUACGAACUUACCAAGCUAAAUUGCAGAAAUACCAAAAAUCAAGGACAUUUUGGUAAUUUUUUAUUUUCCUCGAAUUUCCAUCCAAUCUUGAUCUAAAUUAAUAUUUCAUUCAAUUUAUUAAUUUAAAUAACAAAACAAUUUAUUUCAUGCAAUUUGGUCACUUUUUGACAUUUUUUACAAAAUUACCCUAAAAAUUUUACUUUUAUUCAAUUUAGUCCCUGAACCUAAAACAUGUAAAUUAGCUAUUUUAAAAAUAAACUCAUAUUAUCUGAUUAUUCACAUAUAUUUUUCCUCCUCCUCCACUCCAUUCCACAUCCUUGAUAUAUACAUAAUACCACUAUUUACUUGUUUACUCAUAACAAGCUGUUCACUUAAGUCAUAGUCACUAAAUAAAUUAUAUAUUAAGCUACAGAACUCCAAAUUGAGAUUUUUAAAUUUUAUAUGAAACUAGACUCGCAUAUCUUAUUACUAUAAAAUUUUCAUAAUUUUUGGUUUAUCCAAUAAGUACAGUUUAUUCUUUAAAUUUUCCCAUAUUUCACUGUUCGACAAUCCCGACCCCUCUUCACUAAAAAUUAAUUAUUUCUCUGUAAAAAAUUUGGAUGAUGUUCUCGUUUGUUUCUACUGAAAAUAGACUCAUUAAGGAUUUUAAAAAUAUAAAUUAUAAGCCAUAAUUAUUUUUAUACAAUUUUAAUGAUUUUUCCAAGUCAAAACAGGGGAACCUGAAUUCAUUCUGACCUUAUCUCACAAAAUUCAUUAUAUCUCAUGAUUUAAAAUUUCAUUACUUACACCCUUUCUUCUUUGAGAAACUAGACUGAAUAAGAUUUAAUUUCAUAUUUUUUUAAUCCUCUAAUUUGAUUUCCAUGAUUUAUGGCGAUUUUUCAAAUUUAACCUACUGCUGCUGUCCAAAACUGUUUUAGUGUAAAAUGUUGAUAACUAAAUUUAUAACACCGUCCUUUCCUUUCUCUUCAAUAUUUUCCAUCAUUUCCUUUUAUUUCCCUUUGCUAACAUAACAAGAAUAUAGAACCUUAUAUAAUGAAACUCUACAUUAACAUUAAUUUCCUACUUUUUCAAAAAUAUCAAACUCAAAAGUAUAUUGAAAUCUUGAUGUUCUUAACUUGUGCUAUUGAUUUCAAUCUUUAACUUGAUUUUCUCUCUCCUCCAGCUUCUAUUUCUUGAAUCGAACUUGAUAUUCUAGCUCCCCAUAGUCUCCUUAACAUUUUUCUCUCUUGGUAGCUAUGAAAAUUCUUUUGAUUUCUAGGUGAAAAUGGUAAACUUUUGGAGGAAGGACCAAAUUGUAAAAAAAAAAAGAAAACUUUCUUUCUUUCUUUCUUCCUUCUUCUCACGUUGGCGCAUAUAUAUACUAAAUAGAAUAAUAAUAAAAUAAUAAAAUAUCAUUUAAAAAUUAAAUUAAAAUAUUAAAAAAUUAAUAUUAUUUAAUUAAUUAAUCUAAAAUAUCACCAACAUCAUCAUUGCCUUCUAGAUUUCUCUCUCUUCUAAUUUACCAUUUUGCCCUUUAUAAUCUUUAAAAAUUCCAUCAUUGAGUCAUCACUUAAUUUGGUAAAAUUGUGAUUUAGUCCCUCAAAAUUCUUCACCUUUUUAAUUUGGUCCUAAUUCAUCCAUUUUCCUUAGUUUCUAGAUCAUUCCACCCUUAAAAUAUUUUCCCUAUUGGUCCUUCAACUUUUUCAUAUUUACACUUUACCCCUUCAAAUUUUGAGUAUUUACUCUUGAUCAACAGAACUUUUCUCACUUUUGCGAUUUAAUCCUUUCUUGAAUUAAUAUAUUAUAAUAUAAUUGCUAAUGUUGCCAUAACUCAAAAUUUCCCUUUUUGUCACUUUAUUUCCAUAUUUUACUAUAUCAAGGAUACCUACUUUCUUACUAUAGUAAUUUUCGGGGUAUUACAGUAGUAAUUUUCAGGAUAUUACAGGUGCUCAUACCUAUUUAAUUAAUUUAAUACACAUAAAAUUGUUUAUUGUGAGUUGGAUGAUUUUGGUUUGUUUAUUUAAGAUAUUUUAUUUUUAAAUAUAUUCUUAAUUAUUUAUUUUACAUAUACCUGCAUUUUAACUUAAUAUAUUUAAUAGUGAUUUUUUUAAUAAAAAAAGGACCCAAAGGUUACUAUCUCAUUUUAAGUUGCAUCAUAAAUUACAAUGUUAUGGAUAUCGCUAGGAUAAUCCAUCUCAAAAGACAAAUUACAACACUUAGAAAGAUCCCAAUUACAAAGAGAAUCGGCUAAUUUGUUACAACCACGUUUCACCCAUUUGACCUCGGCGGAAACAAAAGAAUCAAGCAUCUUGUGAACUCCUUGAUGCAGUGAUCAAUGAUCGUUAUGUCCUUGUCAAAACUAAAGCAGUGGACAAUGCUAGCACAAUCUGUUUCAAAAAUGACAUUAUCGGCUUUAAGAAAUUGAGCAAGCUGAAAACCAUUGAUGAGAGCAUCUAAUUCCGCUUUAAUAUUGAUUUUUUAUUCUCAUUUUAUCAGUAUAUUUACAUUUGAAUUCAAAUACAUAUUCUAUAAUUAACUUUAAUCUCACUGUUACAAUACUUAACCUCACUAAAUUACUUGUUUAACAUGAUUAUGGUGAAUUUAUAAAAAGAACAAUCACGAAGCAAAUGCAGAUGCACUUAUUUUAAAGUGUUAUUAAUGGAAAUUUUAUUAUUUUGAAAAAUAAAAGUAUAAUAAGUUUUUUGGCAUUCCAACUUUAUAAAAGAAUUAUUUUAGCUCUAUAUUUAUUUUCCUUCUCUUUUAGUCUUUAAACUUACAUUUUUCUGUCAAACCAUCCAAAAUGGGUGAAAAAGUUAACAUUUGUUAACUUUGUUGACAUGACAUAUAGGUGGAUUACCACGUGUAUGUCACAUUAGCAAUUAAUUAUUUAAAAAAAUAUUUAAAAAUAUUUUCUUAUAUUUUUUAAUUUUUAAAAUAUUUUUUAUUUUUUAAAAUUUUAAAAAAUAAUUACUGCUUAUGUGACAUAUACGUGGCAAUCCGUGUGUAUGUCACAUCAGUAAAAUUCAAGAUAGUGUGGAAUAGUUUCUAAUCUUAUUAUUAUAUAUGUUUUCGAUCUCAUUAGAGCUAAUCUCACUAUCUAUAUAAAGAGAGCCUAAAUAUAAUUUGUUCAUCUUCUUUUAAACAUGUUAGUGCUCCUUUGUAUGAUCAUUUACCUCCCGUGAGUAGGGUUGAGUAAAUAAAAUAAUUGAAAAUCGAUCCAAAUCAAGGUGUUUAGACGGUUUAUGGAAUACAAAUUAAAAAAUCAUAAUUAUCCGAAACCAAACCAAACCAAAUUCUAUUCUUUAUUUAAUUUAUAAAUAAAUUUAUUUUUUAUAAUAUAAAAAUAAAUCUUUUAUAUUUAAAAAUAGUGAAAAUAAAUAUAUUUUAAAAAUAUUAUAUAAAAGUAUUUGAUUAUUUUUAUUUACUUAAAAAAUUUUAAAAAAAUAUCUAUGAAAAAACUUUGAAAAUUUGUCAAAUGAUAUUUAAAAGCCAUAAAAUAAAGUUUAUUUUAUUAAAAUAAUUAUAAAAAUUUAUAAUAAAAAAUCUAACUAAACUAAAUUAUAAUGGAGGAAUAAAAAAAUACAAUCAAAUUAAACUAAUAUCACUUGAUUUUAUUGCACCAAACUGGACAUAAAAGAUUUUCUUAAAAAAUUUAACCUGCAAUGAGAUUGUUUUCCUCACUAGAGGUGUUAUAUAAGUACAUAUCAUAUGAUAAUUAUAAAUUUAAUUAUUUAAUUGUUAUAAAAAUUAAAUAUAUUACAAAUUAAUAUUUAUAUAAUGAUAUAUUAAAUACAUGUAAAUUUAUUAUUAUAAAUAUAUUAUUCGUUGAAUAUUAUUAUACGUGAUUUUAUAUAUUUAUUUAUUAUUCACUGAAUAAUAUAUUUUUAUUUUAUGUAAUUAAUACAAAAAUAAUAUUAUUCAAAUUGUGGUGCAUAAUUAAAAUAGUGCAACAAUAAAAAAUUCAAACAUAAAAGUUUGAAAGUAAAUAAUAAUGAAAUAAAUUUUUUAGUGAUUUUAACUACUAAUUUAAUAAAAAAACUAAAACAUACAAUUCUUAUGUAUAUUUUAUAAUUUAAUAUAAAAUAUAAUUUUAAUUAUUUUUUAAUAUAAACAUAGUUUUGAUAUUUUUAAUUAUUAUUUAAAAUAAUUUAUUUUUAAAUAUAUUAUUAAUUAUUUAUUUUACAUAUACAUACAUUUUAACUUAAUCACUGGAUCAAUCUUGUUGUUUGUAUGAAAUCGGUCCAUUGUAUAUUUGAGGUUGUGACCAAUGACAUCUAUAAAUAAUCAUAUGAUUAGAGGAACAUGAAUUUAGCUAACCCUCACUUUUGUGGAACCGUCUUACACUAGAUCAUCAUUUCUUAAUGGCGAAUGUCACGCCAAUUCGUUUCUUGGGCUCGACAACCACUGACGCUGUAAGUUAGCGAACCGACUGUGCAACGUUCCCAAAACAUACAAAGCGGUCGUUCCUUGCACAAGAUGAGAAGAUCACUUUUGGAAGUACAUGGACGGAAGCGUCAGUCCCGUAAUGUUGAGAAACAAUAAAUACUUGUUGAGAAGGCUAAGUGCGGGUUCUAAGCCUCAUGAACCUUUUUUGAGAAAUCUCUACAACCUUUGACUAUAUGAGUUCAAUAAAGGAACAAAAACCUAGAGCUUUAGGGAAACGAAAUUUUUAUAGAAAAGAUGAGUUAAUAUUUAUGUCAUUCUAUCCCCUAUUUAGAACUCUAUCCCCUAUUUAGAGUACAUAGAAAACCUAGUUUGUUCCUAUUUAAACUCUAAAAGAUAAAUAAAUAUAUAAUCUGAAAUUAAAUAUAAAUAAUAUAUAUCAUAAUAAUCCUAUCAAUAAUCCUAAAAAUAAAAUUUAAAUUUAAAUGGAGUCUUCUGUUCAUAAAUCUCUUCUUUAAAUUUUUGCCCCAAGUCUUUCACACUUUGUAUUUUCGGCACCACUUCUUUCCUAUUUCGCAUGCUGGCCCAUUUUGUCUUCAAAUUCACGCUUUUUGUCCCCAAAUUUUCUUUUGCCUUCAAUUUAAUCCCUACGAGAUAAAAAACCAUAAAUAACUCAAAUUAGUAGAAUCAUACUCAAAACAAAUAUGUAAUUAAUACAUAAAAAUAUGUUAUUUUAAAGUAUUAUCAGUUUCUUAGCGAGCUAUGGAAAUGUAGGUCUCCGAGGAGGAUUAUAGCCCAUCAAUUUUCUCUCUGUAGCAACAAUGAACCUGCAAAUUAUAAAUGCCAAUCCAGAAAAGUAUAAAAUAUUUCUUUUGUAGAAAAUUUUAUAUAUUUUUAAUUAAAAAGAAAAAAGCAAACCCAAUUACACAACAGUCAAAACUGAAGGAAAUUUCAGAAUUAAAAAUGAAUAAAACCCAUAGAUGUAAGCAAAUUUCAUGGGUAUCAUUAGCUUAUUAUAUAGUAUAUGUCAGAGCAAACGUAUUAUUGUCUUCUUGGGAAAAAAAAUUAGACAAGUAAUUUAGACACCUUUAAAUGUCUUUUAUUUGGUAAUUUAUCCUGUAAACUUUGACAACCAAUGCAAACUCUUUUUUGGUGUAAAUGCCCCUUAAGUCCCUCUACUUUUUGCAGGUCAACAAAUUAGUCCCUCUCUAAGGAAAACAGAUUAAAGGAGACCAUGUACUCUUUUCAAAGGUGAAUAAAUAAGGACAAUUAAGAUCAGAGUUAACAAUUUCUAUUAAUACAUGACACAUCUCUAAUUAUGAUUAGUUAAAUUUGAAAACAUUUUAAAUAAAUUAAUAUAUAUAAUAUAAAAAUCUAUAAAAGAAUUCAAAAUUUCAAUUAUUAUAACAUUAAUUUUAUAUCUAAAAAUCCUAAAUUAAAUUAAAUUAAUUCAAUUGAAUUGGACAAACAAAUUCGACCUGAAAUCAUUUGAUAUUGUUGGUUGGACAACCAAUCUGGUUUUAAAAACCUUGACUAGGACAACAUCAAUAUGUUAAUUUAAUUUCUUGUUUGUUUAAUAUUGUUUAUUUAAUAAAUCUAAAUUUUGAAGCAUCUAAAAUGUUAAUAAAAUCUUAUUUCUAAUUAUUUUCAUACAUUGAAUAUGUUAUUUUACUUUGUUAGAACUUGUUUAAAAGAAUAUUGUAUGCUUCAAUGAAAGUCACAAUUUAUCUUUGACCAUGAUUGUUCGCAACUGAGCUACUUAGUAAAUUAAAAAUCAGACCUCGACUAUGUACUGUAAGUGCAUUUUCCUACAAACUUUACCCUAUGAUUCAUUAGCCAAAGGUAUUCAUCCCAUCCCCCAAAGUCAUGAGAUAGAUUUGUAAGCUUUGCUUAUGUUAUAGUUAAGGUGGAUGUGUACGCUAGUGUGUGAGUUCUAAAUUAUAUUGUAUAAAAAAAAAACCAAAAUUAAAUGUGUGUAAACAUCUUAUCUCCAUGCAAAUUUAAGCUAUUGAGCUAAUUUAUUCUUAUAAAAUAUUAAUUUUAUCCAAAAUUUUCUUCUUCAAUAUAGAAAUUAAUGUACAAAGAAAAUAAAAUUUUCUUCUUCAAUAUAGACAUUGGAUAUAGGUGUAGCUGUUUUGUAACAACCUAAAAAGGGUCGUAAUUGCUGCAGGGCUUCCGCAUUCUUAUCUCCUCAAUAUUUGAUAAUCGAAUGGAGCUAAGCUAAGCAUUCAACCAAUCAUAAGAUGAAGAUAUGGGAUUCAUUACUCAAUCUAGCAAUGUCUUCAACUUUGUACAACUCAAUCUUCAAAUUGCUUAAUAGUUCUUGCGUGAAGCCCUUUCAUUAAAUGAUAGUCUACAUAAUGUACACAAAAUUGCUUGAUAAUUAGUUGUGCUUGUGUUGGAACCUUAUUUGAGACAUCAAAAGAGAAAAAUAUGUUUUGUCCUGAGUGGACACAUAUAUAAGUAAAACUAAAGAACACAACUAAGAUAUUUACGCAGCUUGAAACUUGUCCUACGUUUGCAGCGCCUUGUUCAGAGAUAAAUCCACUAUAUAUUUUAUAGUACAAAGAAAUGAUUUAUGCCCAACUCUCAAACAUUUGGUGUGACCUCACCUUUGUACAAUGAAAUAAACUCUCUCCCAAUUCAUUUUAGCUAUACAAUUAGAAAAUCAACACUCAAAAGGUGUAUAACAAUGACACUCAAUAAUAAUUCCUCGCUAUGAGCGCAUGUACUCCGUUAAAUCCACACAUCAUCCACAAAACAAAUCAUCUAUGUAUAAGCUCCAUGUAAAGUGAAAUAACAAAUUUUCAAAUGCAAUAUCACUGGACCUUUGUAGAAACACUUACCGUUACUAAAUGCUGCUUUAUAUCAUGUGCAUAAAUGGUGGCUAACCACAAACCUAUUGUCUAUGCUUUUUCGGUGCAUUCAAAGUUUACACAUUCUGCCAAUUUAGUUUUGAUUUAAUAAAUUUAGCCCACAACAUUUACACAUUUUGUCAAUUUGAUUCUAGUUUAACAAAGUUAGCUUGCAACAUUUACACAUUAUGUAUGGGCUCAAUUUGUUAUUUUAUCGAUCAAAAUUAUGUACGAGUGAAAAAAAAUAUUAACAUUGUGGUUAAUUGUCCUUAGUUCACUUCCGAAAUUGAUAGGGAUUAAAUUACUCCUUUUAUUUUUAGAGGGGCCAAUUUGCAUAAUAUUGAAUUUGAGAGGAACAGAAGAUGUGUUUUUACCCAUUUUUAUCCUUAUUAUAAUUUGCAUAAUAUUAACUUUAUUAUAAUUUGACCUUAUUUGAUUCUUUUUAAUAGUACAUGAACUAAAUUGAUCAUUUAAUAAUAGAGGGAUUAAUUUGAUGCAGUCCCUAUAAUACAGGUACUUUCACCAUUAUAUAUAUAUUUGAAUUGUAAUUUCGAGAUGAAAUUGAACAAUUGAAAAAUGUAAAAACAAAUGAAAUUAGCUCAUUAACUUGUAAUUAUAUACAAAAUGCUUCCCUCCACAUUUAUCCGGCGGCGCUCGAGGCUCUAAUGGUCCCAUGCUGCCGUAUCAACCUCCUCCUAGGCUUCAACAGCACCAGCUUCGACGGUUCCUCCAGUUGUUCCGCCAAUACGUGGUCACCUGGCCUUCGCUUCAACGAAGCCGCGGUUUGCUCAUCUCGAUGAUUAUCACAGAUUUUCAUCCAGUAAUAGUCGUGUCAAGAAGUUGAAGCAAUUGUUGUGAGAUCUCCAGUGAGCUCAAAAAUUCUCUUUUGAAAAUGAUGGCUAUCAUGUAAUUAGUAGUAUAUUAUUUCAAUUUUGAUGAGAAUUGUACUGUCACUUAACGCUUAAUGUCAUUUGCUUAACUUUUUUUGUGUGUGAUAUUUUGAUCUGUUCAUAAAUAGAAUGUUUCAUGGUGGCUAAGUUUCUUAGGGGAUAAUUAUGAGUAGCAUUAUUUGUUUGUGCAGUGAAAUUGUGAUGUCUGUAUUUUAAUAUGUGAGGUAUUUCCGUAUUUGAUGAUGUAGUGGAGUUUUGGUAGAUUAAAGUGCUUGUUUGCUGAACUAAGUUGAAAUUGAAGGAAUGCUGGCCUCACCCAAUGUCCAAAACUUGAUGACUUCAACAUUUUGAUGCCUUAAUUUGAGAAAGCUAAGUUUUAGUAUUAUAAAAUUUUCUCAGAAUGCAGAUGAGGCAAAGAUGUAGUGAUCAAAUAUAAUUGCAAUUGAUAGUAUGUUUGUUUUAUGUACUAUAAAUGCUAUAGUAAGAGAGUUUAAAGCCGAACAUUUAGUGUCGUGCUCUAUAUGAAGAAAGGUUGAUGGGUGUUAGCUCUUUUGAUGUUUUGCCUUUGAUGGAUGUUUGAAAAAUGAUUCAGCUCAUAUCCAUAAUGUCUAUCACUAUAGUUUCCCCCUUAUGUAGAGUAUGACUGCUAGUUUGUCAGGCAAAAUUAUGUUCGUAUAUUAUAUUCUUUUUCUUAUUGUCUUCAACACGAUAACAAGUGAAUUACUAGUUACUUUGCUUGAUUUUGUCAUGCCAUUUAUCUCUUUGAGUUUCGGCCUUUCUGAAUUAACUUUUGAAUCAAGUAGUGAAGCAUUUCUGAUGGUUCUUAUGACUAACAGUAGGUUUUCUUAUACAAGCUCUCCUACAUAUGCAUUUCUUAAACUUAUGCUCUUUUUUAUUUUAUUUUCUUCAUUUCAGUUGGUUGUUAAUCUUGAUAUAACCAUGCACAAAUACUAAUACUAAGGGACCCUGUAAUUUUGCCUGCCAUUGGAAGAGGAAGAGCGCAGCAGACAAAAAUGAAGUUAAGUCUAGCCAACAUAAUACAAGAUGUGUUAUUCAACUUGUAGUUUGAUGUGUGCCAACAUAAGCAUCAACACACAAGUCAUACGUAUAUACAGCCAGGAAAUCGACAUCUUUUGGAAGAGUCCUAAUCCAAGCAUCAUAAUUGAACACAGUCUUGGAAUACUGUCUAAAAAAAUGGUUGUCUCAUAAUCAAUUGUGCAUCCCUGCAUUUGAAUGCUGUUUUGAACACUAAAAAAACAUAAAUGUGUUUUUUCUGAGUUGACAUGUAUUAUGCAACAAGGAAAACAAAGAUCACAAUUAAGAUGUUUACACAGUUCGAAACUAGUCCUACAUCUGCGGGGCCUUACCCAAAGAUGAAUACACUAUGAACUUCAUAGUACAAAGAAAUGAUUUAAGCCUAACCCUCUAACAUUGAUGCAAUCUCAACUUCAACCUCACCACCAAAUAUUCUGAAGCAGCUUCCUUUUUUUUCCUGUUUGGACCUUCAAUAACAAAUUUGGCUGGAAUUCCAAACAGCUAAAAGAGUGCCCUGCAUCAAUGAAUAUCAUGAAUUUGAAUACCUCCAAAAGCCUGUCAAUAUCACAGGUACCAUCUAAGAUAGUAAUCAGUUGGCAUUUAUUAAGAGAAAACAUAAAUAUAUAUAAAGAUAGGAUAGGUAAGUGCUUAAAUGAAGAAAAGGCCUCUCUCCACAUCAAUGAUUUUUUAGACUAAAAUUAUUAGAAGCAAUUGUCAAGUUAUUAUUAUGAUUUAAAAGUAAAAAGCAAAUAGAUAAGUUAGCACCUCUUUUUAUGCAUAUAAAAUGAUUGAAGUUCACUAAUGCCUUUCUCCAAUGCCUUACUGCACAAAUCAGCAAAAAUAUUAUGAAAGAGGAUAAGUAAAAAGUAGGAUUAAAACAAAGGGACUUUAACAAGGAAAUUAACAGUAUCCAACUUCAAUGAAAAAUGGCAUCAGACCCCUGACUUGGAGAUUCAAUAUACCACUCUUAUUUUUCUUCAAAAAAAGAUAAGGUCAUCAAAAUAAAUAAAUAGCAAAGACCAACCUGACACAACCGAAUGUUGGGGAUGUGAGCAAUCUUUUGCCAAUCAGUGCCAAUGUCCUUCCGACAUCUUUCCUCCAACUGAGGAAGUCCUUCUAUUCCUAAAAUUUGCAAAUUGGUUAGGCAACGCAUCUCGUCCGGAAGAGAUGUUAAAUUAGGCAAAUGACAGAGAUAAAGCCCUUGCAGAUUUGUUAGAUGUUGAAGCCCAAUGGGGAGAGACACCAGCUUUGGAAUACUAACAAUCUCCAAACGAGAGAGAUUCUUAAGGGGUUCCCAUUGCAUGCCCUCUAAAUCAACCUCCUUCCAAUCUCUUAUUGUUAAUCUUUCGAGGCUGGUGAGAUGUUGCAGGCACUCAUCUAGCGUGUGAGUGUCCAACCCGUCAAUGUUGUGUACAUCAAAAGAUUUCAAUUUGGAGAGACGAAGAGAAGAGGUUGAAGUUGAUGGGGCCUUAGCAUUGAUGUUCAUCUUGAUAGUCUGCUUUAACGGCCUUGAACUGGUAUUCGACAACAUUAGAUAUUCAUCGAGUGAUGGAUACAGUGGCAUGAAAUUCAAAGGGCAAUUUCUAAUGUUUAACGAGGAAAGACAAGGAAAUGCCAUGGUUGAUGUUCCCAUAACUUCUUUGGCAAUUCUUGAAGCCGGUGACACUGAUCAAGUUUCAGCGCUAGCAAAUUCUGAAUCUUGCAAAUACUCUUUGGGAGAAUCUUAAGACAGAGAUUAUAAGAAAGAUCAAGGUACCUCAAAUGUUUCAACUUGUAAAUGGAGGGUGAAAUCAUCUGAAUACCUAAACAUUGCAAAUCCAAUACACGCAAGCAUCUACAAUUUGCAAUUACAAAAUCCCAAGUUUCUUCGCUCAAUUUUGGAAAAUCAUUGUUUGGAUACUGUAACAAGGUUCGCAACUUCUUUCCCUUAAACAAAGGAAUUAGUGAAGGUUUAAUUGAUAUGUGGCGACAUUUUUCACCAACAUCACUUGCAAUUUUAUUUGAAUCUACAAUACUACUCUCCAUCCCUGCUACUGAUUCAGCUAGAUCAUGCAUUAAAUCAUGCAUUUUACAUGUUAGCCCUUCCCAUGAAUAUCUUUCUCCUACUUCUUGGAAGAAACUUCUUUCAACUAAAUCUUUAAAAUACCCAAACCCGAUCUCCUCGACAGAUUGACUUUGAUUCAAUUGCUUUAUGAAACCUUGUGCAAUCCAAAACUGAACAAGCGCUUGUACUUCAAUUCUGUAAUCUUUUGGAUACAAUUGGCAAUAAGCAAAGCAAUGCUUCAAAUAAGAUGGGAGAUGAUCAUAACUCAAUUUCAGUAUAGGUAGAAGUUCUCCUUCAAUUUGUGAUAUUUUAGCAAGUUCAUUUUCUUUGAAAGAAUACCACUCAUUUGCAGUUUUCUUCAAAGAUAAUGUACCAGCUAUCGUCCUUAUGGCUAAGGGAACCCCACCACACCUUUCCGAAAUCUGUCUCCCUACUUCCACAAAGGCUGAAUUUGUUGAGUCUGCAUAUCCUUGCUCAAAUGCUAUCCUUUUGAACAAAGACCAAGCAUCAUCAUCAGACAAGCCUUUCAGUUUCAAAACAUGGGAUUGACAUUUAUUAGUUAUCUCCGCUACCCUUAGAGAUCGAGUCGUUACUAUUAUCCUACUCCCUUUAGCCCCACCCAUCAAUAACUUCUUUAGCCUAGACCACUUUUCUGGGUCCUCAUUCCAAAUGUCAUCCAAAACAAGCAAAUAUUUUUUCCCAUCAAUUUUAUCUCGAAGUUGUUUUUGCAAUUGAUCCAUUUCAAGAUUUUGAUCAGGUGCUUGAUGAGUCACAGAUUUGAUAAUGUUUGCUACAAUAACUUUCACAUCAAAAUCAUCUGAAACACACGCAAACAUCGUUAAGUCAAAAUGAUUUUUGACCAUUUCCUGGUUAUAGACAAGUUGGGCCAAAGCAGUCUUCCCUAACCCUCCAAACCCCACAAUUGGAAUGAUAUAAACAUUCUCUUCACUUUGAAACUCCAACACGAGUUUUAGAAGAGCUGCUUUAUCAUCAUCCCUCCCUAUUAUGUCAUCUUCACGCUCAAAAGAGUGCGUUUGCUGCCUCCUUUUAGUCAUGAAAGAGGUUUCCGCGGGGCGAUCACGCGGAAUGAAGCCAAAAGUGUUGGCCUCCCUUUCAAUUGAAGUUAAUCUCGCCUUAAUGGCCUUCAUUUUCCGACCCAUUUUGAGACCAUAAGCAAAUUGGUUUGAGGUUGAGAAGAAAAGGCGUACCUCUUUCGCCAGCUUGUUCCCACCCGAUACAUCUUUCCGCAAAGCUUCAGUAGAGAAAUCAUCGAGCAAGUCGUCGGCAUCAUAAAGUACAUAUUUCAGCUCUUCAAGCCAAACUUUGACGAGAUUGUCGGUCACCGAUUUCUCUUCAGCGUCAAGAAGCACAGCUUUGAUUUGACAGACAGUGCGUUUGAGGUCGUGGAUGUCAUGUUUUAGAUUCCACCACAGCCCAACUUGAGAGAGAGCACAAGAGCUCAACUUAGUAAUAAGCUCUAGGGCGAGGUCGAAUGCAAUUGCUUCGGCCAUUGCUGGUUCAAACAGAAAUCAAGCAAAGAAG